CGACGGCCGCCUUCUCCCCCUCCCACGCGCCGCCCGCGCUUAAGCCCGGCGCGAAGCCGCCGCCGCCAGGGUUCCCCCCCGCCGCCGCCGCCGCCGCCGCGUCCAUCCCCAGCGCGUGGUCCUGGUGGUGGUGGUACUGGUACGCCAUGGCCGAACAGGCCUGCGCGCGCGGGCUAUAGCUCCCGCUUCGUAUGUAUCCGCUGCUGCCUUGGGAGGAGGUGGUACCACCGGCACCGGGUCAAGUGGAGGAGGAGGGAUGGGUGUGGGUGCGGGUGCAGGUAGCAGUAGCAGUAGCAGGCGGGCGGGGCGGAGCGGUGCAGCGGCAGAGGGGACCGCGGGGUGGAGGAGGAGGAACCACAGCCAUAUGUAUCCGCGUUUCCACGUGAUAUUCGUACGACAGUCGCGACAGGGAACUGCACACUGCUGCUGCUCCUACAACCAACCUUUUUACGAGCGCAACCUUUUUUUCUUUUCUUUUUUGCCUUCCUUCUCUCUCUGUCAUUACAUGUAAAUUUCGAUUUUUUUACCAGAUUGCGGUUUUAACCGGUCCGACAGAUUUUUAAUAAGAGCAUCUUCGAUAGACUGAACCGACACAUUAUUUUAAGACUGCUGAAAUCAACGCACAAGAGUUUUCUUUUGUAGAAUUCUUCUCUUUCCAACGACACCUUGUCAGUCAAAAGAUCGAGAUGGACCUAGAAAAAUGAAUAGGUAAAGUUAUAAAUUUAAUUAUUAUUUAGCAACUUAGAAAAUUAUGUGAAAUAUGAAUGUGAUCCUAACAAUUGCAAGAUGAUGCAAGCAACCACAAUAUGAUAUGAGUAAAGGCGAAAGACAAAAGACAAACAACCACAAGUAGAGAGUUAGAUUUAGGGAUAACCAAAACUCCACGGACAAAGAUGUAUCAUGAAUUCAUGAUGUUCACUUUCUUGGAGGGAAGCCGGUCACCCUUAGAGGGGUGGAUGCUACCAUGAAGACACACCAACGUCACGAAGUCUCACCCUAUUCUUCCCUUGACAUGUCACCAUGAGGCGAUUCUCAACCAUUAGUGAUAGGCCUUGAAGUGAUCUUCAAACCUUCACAAAAUUUUCACGGAUAAUCACACCGAAUGUUUCCUCUUCGAAGAACUCCUACAGCCUAAAAGAUUUCAACCUCUAAGAGUAAUAAGUUCAUGGGGAAAUGCUCAAGACUUGCUCGAAUCAUGAUUUUCUUUGGUCAAAAGAGCGAGAGCGAGUAAACCUGGUAGAGUUUCUCUCAAGAACUCCCACAAACGCGUAGACAGUGGCCGAGGGCCCCAACUCUAGAGCGCGUAAAUUAGCAUGCCAAUCGCGUGAGUGUGGUAUUGCCACGCAUUCUGGGCGUCCUAGGCAUGUAUGGUGGGUUAGGCACUCCACCGAUAGAUGUUAGGAAGAAAAUGACAACAGAAGAAUCUCACGAGGAGAUUGAACUAAGCUCAAACAUGAAUUAGCAGCCAGUUGUUUUAUUAGUGAUGGGGGAAAUGCACAUGGCCAAUGGGCCUAAGUUUUGGUUGAUGAUGAUCAUCUACUAAGGAGACUGUCUUGACAAAAUUGCAGCUCAAAUGGAGGAGCCUAGGUGGUACUUGCUUUGCAAAGUACCACGUUGGACAAAAACUCUCUCUGUCCCCCCCUCUCCCUCCCUUAAACAUCAGAGUAGCAACACAACUUGAGCAUCAAAGCACAAUAUCUUCAAUUGGUUUAUCAUAGAGCCUCUAGGGAAAAUUUCCAACAUCUCUCUCUCUCUCCCUCCCUUCCCUCCUCUCUCCUCCCUCCUCCUCCCUCCUCUGCCUCGUCCUCCUCUCUCUCUCCUCCCUCCUCCUCCCUCCUCUCUCUCUAUACUAUAUCUCUUNNNNNNNNNNNNNNNNNNNNNNNNNNNNNNNNNNNNNNNNNNNNNNNNNNNNNNNNNNNNNNNNNNNNNNNNNNNNNNNNNNNNNNNNNNNNNNNNNNNNUUUAGUUGAUAGUGYSUCUUCGUAAUAGAGUGCWWUUUGAACACAACAAAAAAGUAUGGAGUUCAAAUAAUUUACUAUAAAAAAAWUGAAAUCCCUUUGUAAGAGAUGAGUUCUCGUUCGAAACCCUGCUACUUCGAGAGAGAUUGUCAGUUUUGUACACGAACUGCAUCCAGUUUUUGUCGUAGCCCUCUCAACUUUUUAGCACAUGCUAUGUGGGUGAAAUAAUGAUAGCAUGCCAACUUUCAACAUUUUCAGAGUUCAUUUGUAGUGCUUUUCAAUUUCAGGGUCAACUAGCUCAAAAAACAUAAGUAAAUGCACGAAAUAUACCAAAUGAAGUCAGAAAUUGUUGAAAUUUUGUGAUGUGCCUUUGAAUGGUGCAUUUUGAACACACAAAAAGUAUGGAGUUCAAAUAAGUUCAAAAAAUUGAAAUCCCUUUGUAAGAGAUGAGUUCUCAUUCGAAACCGUGCUACUUCGAGAGAUAAUAGUUUGGAUAGUCAAAAUUAUUAAUUAUGAAAAUAAAAAAUAGUUUUGCAUUAUUUAUUCAAUUUGAAACAACUUUUCAUUAUCAUAGUUUUGUACAAAUUCUCAAAUAUGCAAAAGAAUUUUUAAUAAACAUAGUUUUUUAAUUGAAAAUAACAAAAUAGAUAAUAGUUUGGAUAGUCAAAAAUUAUUAAUUAUGAAAAUAGAAAAUAGUUUUGCAUUAUUUAUUCAAUUUGAAACACUUUUCAUUAUCAUAGUUUUCUCAAAUUCUCAAAUAUGCAAAAAAGAUUUAGAACAUAGUUUACUAGAANAACAAANAGGGAUAAGNNNNNNNNNNNNNNNNNNNNNNNNNNNNNNNNNNNNNNNNNNNNNNNNNNNNNNNNNNNNNNNNNNNNNNNNNNNNNNNNNNNNNNNNNNNNNNNNNNNNAGCCUUUNUAACUUCAUUUGCUAACGUUUUGAAAUGGGUUUUAGCCCCUUUCUAAACUUUAUGGUAAGUCAUGUAUUUCGACCACAUAUAUAGUCAAAAAAGUCUUCAGUUCAAAUAAGUUCUAAAAAAAUGAAAUCCCUUUUGUAACAGAUCUGUUUUUUGAUUAAAAACAAAUCACUUUUAAAAAAAUGAAAAGACCAUUAGUCCCCAACGUGGCGUGCAGCGGAACCACGUGGCGUGCCACGGAACCACUUUUGUUGUGGGGGGUCGCUUCUCCUUCUUCUCCUUGUGCUAGAUAUUGGUUAUGCACUAGGGGGAAGUAGGAGUAGCGACCAUCAUCGACGGUUGAAAAAUCAGGUGAGCUAGUGUCCACCAUCAUCGACGGUUUUUGUCGUAGCCCUGUCAACUUUUUAACACAUGCUAUGUGGGUGAAAUGAUAUAGCAUAGUCCAACCUUUACUUAACAACUUUUACUACGGUAGGUUACGAAUUUCCGGUUAACGGUAGGCCUUUUUACCAAAACGUUUUACGGAAGGGUUACGAAACUAGCUAAAAAAAAGUAAAUGCACGAAAUAUACCAAAUGAAGUCAGAAAUUGUUGAAAUUUUGUGAUGUGCCUUUGAAUGGUGCAUUUUGAACACACAAAAAGUAUGGAGUUCAAAUAAGUUCAAAAAAAUGAAAUACACUUUGUAAGAGAUGAGUUCUCGUUCGAAACCCUGCUACUUCGAGAGAGAUUGUCANNNNNNNNNNNNNNNNNNNNNNNNNNNNNNNNNNNNNNNNNNNNNNNNNNNNNNNNNNNNNNNNNNNNNNNNNNNNNNNNNNNNNNNNNNNNNNNNNNNNCCUAUGCUCUCUAUUACUUUCAAUACACGUUUAGCUGGGCAACUGUAGUCUUACUCGAAUCUCGUACCUUGUAAAACUGGACAAGUAACCCUUUCUUGGACUGUUCCUAUUUUGAACCUUCUUCUAAAACUUUAUCAAGGUAUGUGCUUUGUGAAAGUCCUAUCAGGCUUUUUGAUCUAUCCCUAUAGAUCUUAAUGCCUAGAAUGUAAGCAGCUUCUCCUAGGUCCUUCAUAGAGAAACUUUUAUUCAAGUGACCUUUUAUGCUCUCCMAAAAGCUCUACGUUGUUUCCAAUCAGUAAUAUGUCAUCCACAUAUAAUAUUAGAAAUGCCACAGAGCUCCCACUCACUUUCUUGUAAAUACAGGAUUCUCCAACCACUUGUAUAAACCCAAAUGCUUUGAUCACCUCAUCAAAGCGUUUGUUCCAACUCCGAGAUGCUUGCACCAGUCCAUAAAUGGAUCGCUGGAGCUUGCACACCUUGUCAGCAUUUUUAGGAUCGACAAAACCUUCGGGUUGCAUCAUAUACAACUCUUCCUUAAGGAAACCGUUAAGGAACGCCGUUUUUGACWKYYAYGACUUCGUCCGAACCCGGUACGAACUUACCAAGGGGUAAAUUCGGGAAAANNNNNNNNNNNNNNNNNNNNNNNNNNNNNNNNNNNNNNNNNNNNNNNNNNNNNNNNNNNNNNNNNNNNNNNNNNNNNNNNNNNNNNNNNNNNNNNNNNNNAUCGCACAGCACAAGCGUUAAGAAACGCGGUUGAUGUAGUGGAACGUCCUCACGUCCCUCGAUCCGCCCCGCGAACCAUCCCGCGANCCGUCCACGAUCUAGUCCCGAACGGACGGCACUCCGCGUUCAGCACACGUACAGCUCGACGAUGAUCUCGGCCUUCUUGAUCCAGCAAGAGAGACAGAGAGGUAGAAGAGUUCUCCGGCAGCGUGACGGCGCUCCGAAGGUUGGUGAUGANCUUGUCUCAGCAGGGCUCCGCCCGAGCUCCGCAGAAACGCGAUCUAGAGGAAAAACCGUGGAGGUAUGUGGUCGGGCUACCGUGGAAAAAGUCGUCUCAAAUCAGCCAUAAAACCUCUGUAUAUAUAGGUGGGAGAGGGGGGGUCCUUGCCUUGGUGCUCAAGGAGCCCCAAGGGGGUCGGCCGAGCCAAGGGGGGAAGGUCUCCCCCCCCAAACCGAGUCCAACUUGGUUUGGUGGGWGGAGUCCUUCUUUCCUUUCCCACCUCCUCCUUUUUUCUUUUCUCUUUGAUUUCUUCCUAUGGCGCAUAGGGCCUUCUUGGGCUGUCCCACCAGCCCACUAAGGGCUGGUGUGCCACCCCCAAGGCCUAUGGGCUUCCCCGGGGUGGGUUGCCCCCCCGCCCCGGUANACCGUACCCCCGGAAACCCUAUUCCGUACUACCGUUUCCCCGGUAACUACCGUUUACCCCGGUAACCUAACCCGUNNNNNNNNNNNNNNNNNNNNNNNNNNNNNNNNNNNNNNNNNNNNNNNNNNNNNNNNNNNNNNNNNNNNNNNNNNNNNNNNNNNNNNNNNNNNNNNNNNNNCCAGUUAUCAAGCAACAACACCUUGUUCAUAAUCAGAAGACACUGACUAUCUUUGAUCAACUGGCUAGCCAACUAGAGGCUUGCUAGGGACGGUGUUUUGUCUAUGUAUCCACACAUGUAAAUGAGUCUUCAUUCAAUACAAUUAUAGCAUGGAUAAUAAACGAUUAUCUUGAUACAGGAAUUAUAAUAAUAACUAUAUUUAUUAUUGCCUCUAGGGCAUAAUUCCAACAGUCUCCCACUUGCACUAGAGUCAAUAAUCUAGCCCUCACAUCACCAUGUGAAUUACAUUGUAAUAAAUCUAACACCCAUACAGUUCUGGUGUUGAUCAUGCUUUGGCCGUGGAAGAGGUUUAGUCAGCGGGUCCGCUACAUUCAGAUCCGUGUGCACUUUGCAUAUAUUCACGUCCUCUCCCUCGAACGUAGUUCGCGGAUGAGGUUGAAGCGUCGUUUGAUGGUGUACUGGUACUUCUUGUGAAACCGUGGUUCCUUUGCUAAGGCAAUGGCACAAGUGUUAGUCACAGAACAAGGUUAUUGGAUUCAAGUUGCGCUUUAGGCCAACCUACGUUCCCAAAGGAUCCCGUCAAUAGAACCUGCUUCAAUUCCAGACACCCUCCUUAGCCGCCUCCGAAGGCAGCCAAUGUACUCCGCUUCACAUGUAGAAUCUAGCUACGACGCUUGCUUGGAACCGCACCAGCUUACUGCACCCCCAUUAAAGAAUAAAUACGGUAAUCCGGUUUANCGACUUAGAGUCGUCCGGANNNNNNNNNNNNNNNNNNNNNNNNNNNNNNNNNNNNNNNNNNNNNNNNNNNNNNNNNNNNNNNNNNNNNNNNNNNNNNNNNNNNNNNNNNNNNNNNNNNNUCGAGAAGGAGUUCUCUGAGAGAAUUGAGUGGGAGGAAGAUAGAACUGACGAGGUUGUCGAACCUCUCAUCCCUCUGGGAUGGUGGCGCAGGGCAAGGGGAAACCUCUGUCGUUGCGACGCCGGUUGAGGAGGAAGUUAAUGAUGAUGAUCAUGAAACUCCAGUUCAAGUUUCUGUUGAACCACGCAGGUCGACGAGAUCACGCGCUGCUCCAGAGUGGUACGGUAAUCCCGUCUUAUCAAUCAUGUUGUUAGACAACAAUGAACCUGCAAAUUAUGAAGAUGCAAUGGUGGGCCCAGAUUCCAACAAAUGGCUAGAAGCCAUGAAAUCCGAGAUAGGAUCCAUGUAUGAGAACAAAGUGUGGACUUUGGAGAUACUACCUGAGGGCCGCAAGGCUAUUCAGAACAAAUGGAUCUUUAAGAAGAAGACGGACGCUGACGGUAAUGUGACCGUUUAUAAAGCUCGACUUGUGGCAAAGGGUUUUUCACAAGUUCCAGGAGUUGACUACGAUGAGACUUUCUCACCCGUAGCGAUGCUUAAGUCCGUCAGAAUCAUGUUAGCAAUAGCUGCAUUUUUUCGAUUAUGAAAUCUGGCAGAUGGAUGUCAAAACGGCGUUCCUUAACGGUUUCCUUAAGGAAGAGUUGUAUAUGAUGCAACCCGAAGGUUUUGUCGAUCCUAAAAAUGCUGACAAGGUGUGCAAGCUCCAGCGAUCCAUUUAUGGACUGGUGCAAGCAUCUCGGAGUUGGAACAAACGCUUUGAUGAGGUGAUCAAAGCUAUUUGGGUUAUACAAGUGGUUGGAGAAUCCUGUAUUUACAAGAAAGUGAGUGGGANNNNNNNNNNNNNNNNNNNNNNNNNNNNNNNNNNNNNNNNNNNNNNNNNNNNNNNNNNNNNNNNNNNNNNNNNNNNNNNNNNNNNNNNNNNNNNNNNNNNAACAUAAUUCUAACAGACUUUUUAGCAUCGCUACGAGUGAGAAAGUAUCAUCAUAGUCAACUGUUUGAUCUUGUCGGAAAACAUCUUUGCGACAAGUCAAGCUUUUCUUAAUAGUGACUUAUCACCAUCAUCGUCUGUCUUCCUUUUAGAGAUCCGUCUUUACUAAAUAGUCCUAUGACCAUCAAGUAGUUCUUCCAAAGUCUACACUUUGUUUUCAUACAUGGAUCCUCUCUCGGAUUUCAUGGCUUCCAGCCAUUUGUCGGAAUCCGGGCCCAUCAUUGCUUUCUCCAUAACUCGUAGGUUCACUGUUGCUCAACAACAUGACCUCCAAGACAGGGUUACCGUACCACUCUGCAGUAGUACGCGACCUUGUCAACCUUACGAGGCUUGUAGUAACUUGAUCCGAUGUCUCGAUGUAUCACCAUCAUUCAGCUUUCACUUCAAUUUGGGUACKUAGGCGCCACAGGAACAACUUCCUACGCCCUGCUACACACUCGGUUGAAGUGAUGGUUCAUAACUCAUCAAGUUCUACCNCCUCCNCUCAAUUCUUUCGAGUGNNNNNNNNNNNNNNNNNNNNNNNNNNNNNNNNNNNNNNNNNNNNNNNNNNNNNNNNNNNNNNNNNNNNNNNNNNNNNNNNNNNNNNNNNNNNNNNNNNNNGUACUCAGACAAUCUGAGCACACGCUCAACGAUUGAGCUUUUCUCCUUUACUUUAUGGACAAGAAUCUUGUCGGAGGUCUCGUACCUCUUAACAAGGGCACGANCGGGGAUGAAAUACAAAUUUCAUCUCUUUAGAACAUCACUUAUUGUUUCGUGACGUUUCAAACGUUUUCGGCGCCUUGCUUCUAAGCCAUUAAGUAUUUUUGUACUGAACUAUCGUGUAGUCAUCAGAAACGUGUAUGUCGGAUGUUCACAGCAUCCACAGACGACGCUCGAGGUGCAGCACACCGAGUGGUGCAUUAAGGACAUAAGCCUUCUGCGCAGCAACGAGGACAAUCCUCGGUUUUACAGACUCAGUAUGCAAAGUUUGCUACUAUCAAUUUUCAACUAAAUUUUUCUCUAGGAACAUAUAAAACAGUAGAGCUAUAGCGCAAGCUACAUCGUAAUUCGCAAAGACCAUUAGACUAUGUUCAUGACAAUUAGUUCAUCUAAUCAAAUUACUUAAGAACUCCCACUCAAAAAGUACAUCUCUCUAGUCAUUUGAGUGGUACAUGAUCCAAAUCCAUUAUCUCAAGUCCGAUCAUCACGUGAGUCGAGAAUAGUUUCAGUGGUAAGCAUCUCUAUGCUAAUCAUAUCAACUAUACGAUUCAUGCUCGACCUUUCGGUCUCAUGUGUUCCGAGGCCAUGUCUGCACAUGCUAGGCUCGUCAAGCUUAACCCGAGUGUUCCGCAUGUGCAACUGUUUUGCACCCGUUGUAUGUGAACGUCUGAGUCUAUCACCACCGUAUCAUCCACGGUGGUGUCUACGAACGACGAACUGUAGACGUAACGGGUGACCACGUACGGGUACGGGGGAAGAAACCAACUAAGUUUCGUUCUUAAGUUAAAUUUUUAGGUNNNNNNNNNNNNNNNNNNNNNNNNNNNNNNNNNNNNNNNNNNNNNNNNNNNNNNNNNNNNNNNNNNNNNNNNNNNNNNNNNNNNNNNNNNNNNNNNNNNNAUUUCUAUGAGUAACAUCUUUUAUGGUCAUGCACGAAUGUGAGAGGAUUGUUCAUAUUGAAUCGUGAUAGCGAUACACAUAUACAUAACAUUGAGACCAAAAGAGUUAGAGUUAACAAUGAUAGCGCCAUAUUUUUUGUGGCACUGCCGCUUAGGUCAUAUUGGUGUAAAGCGCAUGAAGAAACUCCAUGCUGAUGGACUUUUGGAGUCACUUGACUUUGAAUCACUUGACACGUGCGAACCAUGCCUCAUGGGCAAGAUGACUAAGACUCCGUUCUCAGGAACAAUGGAGCGUGCAAGUGACUUGUUGGAAAUCAUACAUACCGAUGUGUGUGGUCCGAUGAGCGUGGAGGCACGCGGCGGAUAUCGUUAUUUUCUCACUUUCACUGACGAUUUAAGUAGAUAUGGUUAUGUCUACUUGAUGAAGCACAAGUCUGAACAUUUGAAAAGUUCAAGCAAUUUCAGAGUGAAGUGGAAAAUCAUCAUAACAAGAAGAUCAAGUUCCUACGGUCUGAUCGUSKSRGUGAAUAUCUGAGUUUCGAGAUUGGUGCUCACUUAAGACAAUGUGGAAUUGUUUCACAGUUAACACCGCCUGGAACACCACAGCGUAAUGGUGUGUCCGAACGUCGUAAUCGUACUCUAUUAGAGAUGGUGCGAUCUAUGAUGUCUCUUACUGAUUUUGCCGUUAUCAUUUUUGGGGCUAAUGCAUUAGAAACAGCUGCAUUCACUUUAAAUAGGGGCACCAUCAAAAAUCCGUUGAGACGACACCAUACGAACUGUGGUAUGGCAAAAGGCCAAAGUUGUCGUUUCUUAAAGUUUGGGUAUGUGAUGCUUAUGUCAAAAAAGCUUCAGCCUGAAAAGCUGGAACCCAAAGCGGAAAAGUGCGUCCUUCAUAGGUUACCCAAAAGAGACAGUUGGGUACACCUUACUAUCUCAAAUCCGAGGGCAAAGUGUUUGUUGCUAAAACCAGAGCUUUUCUCGAGAAGGAGUUUCUCUCGAGNNNNNNNNNNNNNNNNNNNNNNNNNNNNNNNNNNNNNNNNNNNNNNNNNNNNNNNNNNNNNNNNNNNNNNNNNNNNNNNNNNNNNNNNNNNNNNNNNNNNAUAAUUAGUUAUUAUUAUAUUUCUUUGUUCAUGAUAAUCGUUUAUUAUCCAUGCUAUAAUUGUAUUGAUUGGAAACACAAUACUUGUGUGGAUACAUGGACAAAACACUGUCCCUAGUAAGCCUCUAGUUGACUAGCUCGUUGAUCAAAGAUGGUCAAGGUUUCCUGGCCAUAGGCAAGUGUUGUUACUUUAUAACGGGAUCACAUCAUUAGGAGAAUCAUGUGAUGGACUAGACCCAAACUAAUAGACGUAGCAUGUUGAUCGUGUCAUUUUGUUGCUACUGUUUUCUGCGUGUCAAGUAUUUGUUCCUAUGACCAUGAGAUCAUAUAACUCACUGACACCGGAGGAAUGCUUUUUGUGUAUCAAACGUCGCAACGUAACUGGGUGACUAUAAAGAUGCUCUACGGGUAUCUCCGAAGGUGUUCGUUGAGUUAGUAUGGAUCGAGACUGGGAUUUGUCACUCCGUGUGACGGAGAGGUAUCUCGGGGCCCACUCGGUAAUACAACAUCACACACAGGCCUUGCAAGCAAUGUGACUUAGUGUAAGUCACGGGAUCUUGUAUUACGGACCGAGUAAAGAGACCUUGCCGGUAAACAAGAUUGAAAUAGGUAUGCGGAUACUGAUGAUCGAAUCUCGGGCAAGUAACAUACCGAAGGACAAAGGGAAUGACAUACGGGAUUAUAUGAAUCCUUGGCACUGAGGUUCAAACGAUAAGAUAUUCGUAGAAUAUGUGGGAUCCAAUAUGGGCAUCCAGGUCCCGCUAUUGAAUAUUGACCGAGGAGUCACUCGGGUCAUGUCUACAUAGUUCUCGAACCCGCAGGGUCUGCACACUUAAGGUUCGACGUUGUUUUAUGCGUAUUUGAGUUAUAUGGUUGGUUACCGAAUGUUGUUCGGAGUCCCGGAUGAGAUCACGGACGUCACGAGGGUUUCCGGAAUGGUCCAGAAAGGAGAUUGAUAUAUAGGAUGACCUCAUUUGAUUACCAUAAGGUUUUCGGAGUUACCGGGAAUGUACCGGGAAUGACGAAUGGGUUCGGUGUUCACGGGGGGGGGGGGGGGCAACCCACCCCGGGGGAAGCCCAUAGGCCUUGGGGNGGGCAUCAGCCCUUAGUGGGCUCGGUGGCAGCCAAGAAGGCCCUAUGCGCCAAUGGGAUAAGAAAUCAAAGAGAAAGGAAAAAAAGGUAGGAGGUGGGAAACGGAGAGAAGGUCCUACCACCUUUCCGAAAACCCGUAGUUGGGUAUUCCGGGUUUUGGAAAGGGGAGGGAACUUUCUCCCCCGUUGGGCUUCGGGCCGCCCCCCUUGGGGCUCCUUAGNGCCUCAAGGCAAGGCCCCCCCCCUNUUCCCGACCCUUANNNNNNNNNNNNNNNNNNNNNNNNNNNNNNNNNNNNNNNNNNNNNNNNNNNNNNNNNNNNNNNNNNNNNNNNNNNNNNNNNNNNNNNNNNNNNNNNNNNNAGAAAAGAAAAGAGNGGAGGAAAGAAGAGCUCCCNCCAACCAAACUAGGUACGCGUUUCGGGUUGGGGGGAGACCUUCCCCCCUUGGCUCGGCCGACCCCCUUGGGGCUCCUUGAGCACCAAGGCAAGGCCCCCCCUCUCCCACCUAUAUAUACAGAGGUUUUAUGGCUGAUUUGAGACGACUUUUCCACGGUAGCCCGACCACAUACCUCCACGGUUUUUCCUCUAGAUCGCGUUUCUGCGGAGCUCGGGCGGAGCCCUGCUGAGACAAGAUCAUCACCAACCUUCGGAGCGCCGUCACGCUGCCGGAGAACUCUUCUACCUCUCUGUCUCUCUUGCUGGAUCAAGAAGGCCGAGAUCAUCGUCGAGCUGUACGUGUGCUGAACGCGGAGGUGCCCGUCCGUUCGGGACUAGAUCGGUGGGACGGAUCGCGGGAUGGUUCGCGGGGCGGAUCGAGGGACGUGAGGACGUUCCACUACAUCAACCGCGUUUCUUAACGCUUGUGNNNNNNNNNNNNNNNNNNNNNNNNNNNNNNNNNNNNNNNNNNNNNNNNNNNNNNNNNNNNNNNNNNNNNNNNNNNNNNNNNNNNNNNNNNNNNNNNNNNNUGUUAGAGAAGGUGCGAUCUAUGAUGUCUUCUUACUCGAUUUGCCGUUUUAUCAUUUUUGGGGGUUUAUGGCCAUUAGAAACAGCCUGCAUUGACUUUAAAUAGGGCACCAUCAAAAUCCGUUUGAGACGACACCAUACGAACUGUGGUAUGGCAAAAGGCCAAAGUUGUCGUUUCUUAAAGUUUGGGGAUGUGAUGCUUAUGUCAAAAAGCUUCAGCCUGAAAAGCUGGAACCCAAAGCGGAAAAGUGCGUCUUCAUAGGUUACCAAAAAGNGACAGUUGGGUUCACCUUCUAUCUCAAAUCCGAGGGCAAAAUGUUUGUUGCUAAAAACGGNGCUUUUUCNCGAGAAGGUAGUUUCUCUUCGAGAGAAUUGAGUGGGAGGAGAUAGAACUUGACGAGGUUGUCGAACCUCUCAUCCCUCUGGAUGGUUGGCGCCAGGGGCAAAGGGGGGGAAACCCUUCCGUGUCCGGUUUGCGACGCCGGUUGAGGUGGAAGGUUAAUGNUGAUGAUCAUGNNNNNNNNNNNNNNNNNNNNNNNNNNNNNNNNNNNNNNNNNNNNNNNNNNNNNNNNNNNNNNNNNNNNNNNNNNNNNNNNNNNNNNNNNNNNNNNNNNNNAGCUAGUCUCCGUUUAUGCCGUAGCUAUUAUUUCGUGUUACUAAUCACUUAGCAACUGAACCGGUAUUCAAUACCCUCGUGCUACUAGGAGUACUAGUAAAGUACACAUCAACAUCAUGUAUAUCAAAUAUACUUCUUUCGACUUUUGCCAUCCUUCUUAUCUACCAAGUAUCUAGAGUUGCUCCGCCUCAGUGACUGUUCCCCCUCAUUAUAGAAGCACUUAGUCUCGGGUUUGGGUUUAAUAUUGGGUCUCUUCAUUAGUGCAGCAACUGUUUUGCCGUUUCACGAAGUAUCCCUUCUAGCCCUUGCUUUUCUUGAAACUUAGUGGUUUYACWAACCAUCAACUAUUGAUGCUCCUUCUUGAUUUCUACUUUCGCAGUGUCAAACAUCGCGAAUCGCUCGAAGGAUCAUUGUAUCUAUCCUUGUAUAUGUUAUAGUUCAUCACGAAGCUCUCACAGCUUGGUGGCAGUGACUUUGGAGAACCAUCACUAUCUCAUCUGGAAGAUUAACUCCACUUGAUUCAAGUGAUUUGUCGUACUCAGACAAUCUGAGCACACGCUCAACGAUUGAGCUUUUUCUCCUUUACUUUAUGGACAAAGAAUCUUGUCGAGGUCUCGUACUCUUAACAAGGGCACGAGCAUGAAAUCAAAAUUUCAUCUCUUUAGAACAUCACUUAUUGUUUCGUGACGUUUCAAAAACGUUUUUUCGGCGCCUUUGCUUCUAAGCCAUUAAGUAUUUUUUGUACUGAACUAUCGUGUAGUCAUCAGAAACUUGUNNNNNNNNNNNNNNNNNNNNNNNNNNNNNNNNNNNNNNNNNNNNNNNNNNNNNNNNNNNNNNNNNNNNNNNNNNNNNNNNNNNNNNNNNNNNNNNNNNNNCUCGGGACGUCGUCGUGCUAAGGCCCCAUAGGACUAGCGCAUCAAAGCAGUAACCAUCACCGAUGAAGAAAGGUGUAGAUCAAAAAGAUCAAACGUGUAAACACCCGGACGAAGACAAAUAAAGACCGGAUCCAAACAGAUCCAUCAAAGACCAGCACCGAUCGAAUCCCACGAGAUCCAAGAAAAACACACCUCCACACGCCCUCCGAUUAUGCUAGAUGCACCAUUGAAGUGGGGAUAUACAGAACGUGUGAGACAUUAUUCCUACUAAGGGACAUCGUCACCGCCAACCCCAACCGAGACGUUGAACCUAACAAGAACGAGAACAAGACCCCUCCCAGUGACGGAGGCCGAGAUCCUCCGCACUUCCACGGCCUAGAGGCCAUCAAAGAUGGGGCGGACCGGCGCCGCCGUUGACGGGAGUAGAAUGAGCUUUUCUCCUGUAGGAGGAAAGAGUACUACUGCUUACAGGAGUAGAAGGGGUUUUUCUUGUGUUCCAUGAGUUUUUUUUGGCCUUCUAUAUCAUAUUUUGUUUGAUUUCGCCUUAGUUAGUCUUCCUUUUUCCGAACCAAAAGAAAAAAAAGGUUUAUUAUGAGGGUGUUUGUUUCCAGGGACUUAUUGGUUUAGGGACUUAAAAAAGUCCCUAUAAGUCCCACCUAAACCAAACACAAGGGACUUAUUGUGGUGAUUUAGGACUUAUCAAAUAAGACUCUCAGGGAGGACCUUAUUGGGACUUAUCCCGGACCGGACCUACCCCGCGUCGCUCCAGGCUCGUUCCCCGCACGCCGCCCCGCCUCUCGGUCCAAUCGCCGCCGCCGCCCCGCCUCUCGCCCCGUCGCCGCCCCGCCUCUCGCCCCGUCGCCGCCCCGCCUCGGUUCGUUCUGCCUCGGUUCGUUGCAGCGGUGCCUCCAAUCGCCGGACAGGCCCUCUCCUGAGCCUCGUUGCAGCGGUGCUUAUCAUGUGUGCCGUACGCGUUGACUGAUGACGAUCCAUGUGAACAAGUGUAUUAUUAGAUGCAACAUGGACUUAUAAGUCCCUGUAAACAAACAGGUAGGGACUCGGGACUUAUAAGUCUGUGUAAACAAACAGGUAGAGACUUAUUACUUAUAAGUUGGGACUUAAAAAAUUUAUAGGACUUAUGAAACAAACAGGCCUAUGUCUGGUCUUCUUCUUUCAUGCACGGAGACCAAAAGUUUGUUAAGAAAUAAGCAAGUCCCUAUCAAGCGAAAACACAACAAUUUGGGGUCAUCAAAAUAACAGCGACAUCAGGCACAUAGAAAAGGUUCAGCAUAGCAAUCAACGUCCCAGCUUGAUCUCCACAGCGACUGCUCACCAUCACCUCGCUUCCCUAACAAAAAAAAAAAUUACUCGUUUCCUUAGAGGAAAAAAGAAUACCAUCACAUCGCUGAGUUCAGAAUGAAAAGAGAAAAUGUGAGCGAUAAGUAUCAUGCAUUUUCUCCAUAGAAAAUACUGCAACGGAAUCCGGCUAAACCGCAACCACUGGAUUAGCCGCUAACCUCGGCGCUGCACGUGAGACCCUCACAUGUUAAGACCUCAGGUGCUCUUAAUUAAAGAACUGUCACUGCUACUAAAAAUCACUGGAUCCUCUGACAUUAGGACUUUGCAUGUUUACACAAAAGAAAAUUCAUUUAUGGGGCCAAGAAACGACAGAUCUCGCGUUGCAGGGAAAUUGAAGGGCCUUGACCUUAGGUGGUGGCACUGCAUUCACUAGGCACCACCCAUUAAACAAGCACAGCUGGGCUUUGCAGGAUCUUAGGGUGUGUUUGGUUGGAGAACCAACUGUCAUGGAAUGGAAUGGUUCCAUUCCAUAGGAACGGGUCGGUUCCAUUCCUGUGUUUGGUACGAGCAAAAAAGUGGAACGGGAUGGUUCCGUUCCUGUGUUUGGUUCUACCUGCAGAUCAAUACACAUGGCAGGAAUCAGCAGAGAAAGAGGGAGAGGGGCCCUUCGGCGCGGCAGGGAGAGGGAGGGGCCGGCGGCGCGGCAGGGAGAGAGAGGGGCCGACGGCGCGGCAGGGAGAAAGGGGCCGGCGGCGCGGCAGGGAGAGGGAGGGGCCGGCGGCGCGGCAGGGAGGGGGGGNNNNNNNNNNNNNNNNNNNNNNNNNNNNNNNNNNNNNNNNNNNNNNNNNNNNNNNNNNNNNNNNNNNNNNNNNNNNNNNNNNNNNNNNNNNNNNNNNNNNAAUUUCAACAAUUUCUGACUUCAUUUGGUAUAUUUCGUGCAUUUACUUAUGUUUUUUGAGCUAGUUGACCCUGAAAUUGAAAAGCACUACAAAUGAACUCUGAAAAUGUUGAAAGUUGGCAUGCUAUCAUUAUUUCACCCACAUAGCAUGUGCUAAAAAGUUGAGAGGGCUACGACAAAAACUGGAUGCAGUUCGUGUACAAAACUGACAAUCUCUCUCGAAGUAGCAGGGUUUCGAACGAGAACUCAUCUCUUACAAAGGGAUUUCAUUUUUAUGAAAUUAUUUGAACUCCAUACUUUUUGUGUGUUCAAAAUGCAUCAUUCAAAGGCACAUCACAAAAUUUCAGCAUUUUCUGACUUCAUUUGGUAUAUUUCGUGCAUUUACUUUUUUUUUGAGCUAGUUGACCCUGAAAUUGAAAAGCACUACAAAUGAACUCUAAAAAUGUUGAAAGUUGGCAUGGUAUCAUCAUUUCACCCACAUAGCAUGUGUUAAAAAGUUGAGAGGGCUACGACCAAAACUAGAUGUAGUUCGUGUACAAAACUGACAAUCUCUCUCGAAGUAGCACGGUUUCGAACAAGAACUCAUCUCUUACAAAGGGAUUUCAUUUUUUUGAACUUAUGUGAACUCCAUACUUUUUGUGUGUUCAAAAUGCACCAUUCAAAGGCACAUCACAAAAUUUCAAAAAUUUCUGACUUCAUUUGGUAUAUUUCGUGCAUUUACUUAUUUUUUUGAGCUAGUUGACCCUGAAAUUGAAAAGCAGUACAAAUGAACUCUGAAAAUGUUGAAAGUUGGCAUGCUGUCAUCAUUUCACCCACAUAGCAUGUGUUAAAAAGUUGAGAGGGCUANNNNNNNNNNCUAUUUUCAUAAUUAAUAAUUUUGACUAUCCAAACUAUUAUCUAUUUUGUUAUUUUCAAUUAAAAACUAUAUUUAUUAAAAAUUCUUUUUGCAUAUUUGAGAAUUUGACAAAACUAUGAUAAUGAAAAGUGUUUCAAAUUGAAUAAAUAAUGCAAAACUAUUUUUUAUUUUCAUAAUUAAUAAUUUUGACUAUCCAAACUAUUAUCUCUCGAAGUAGCACGGUUUCGAAUGAGAACUCAUCUCUUACAAAGGGAUUUCAAUUUUUUGAACUUAUUUGAACUCCAUACUUUUUGUGUGUUCAAAAUGCACCAUUCAAAGGCACANNNNNNNNNNNNNNNNNNNNNNNNNNNNNNNNNNNNNNNNNNNNNNNNNNNNNNNNNNNNNNNNNNNNNNNNNNNNNNNNNNNNNNNNNNNNNNNNNNNNCUGGAACGUCGGCAUCGGGCUGUCACACGGGUGGGGCCACGACCCGGGACUAAAGGCCUCUUUUCGGGCAGACCAAGAGGCGGGAAGCAGGGGGUCUUUAGUCCCGGUGCAUGGCUCUAGCUGGGACUAGAGGGUGUCUUUAGUCCCGGGGCGUGGCUCCACCCGGAACUAAAGCCCCUCCUCGGCUGCACGAUAAGUUUAGUCCCACCUCCCCAGCGAGGGGGACUAACACUUGUUUAUAAGCCCCGUCGCAGUUUGUCCAUCGAGCUCCUCUCUAAAGCAGGCUUACGGGCCUAAACAUACUGAAAAUUGAAACUAUAUUCGAAAUUGUGGAUAAAAUUCAAUCUGAAUUCAAAGUGAAUUCAGGUUGAAUUUUGUCCAUGAUUUCUCAUAUAGUUUCAAUUUUUUUCUAUUUUCAAAAUUAAUUAUUAUCUAUUUUGUUAUUUUCAAUUAAAAACUAUGUUUAUUAAAAAUUCUUUUUGCAUAUUUGAGAAUUUGACAAAACUAUGAUAAUGAAAAGUGUCUCAAAUUGAAUACAUAAUGCAAAACUAUUUUCUAUUUUCAUAAUUAACAAACUAUUAUCUAUUUUGUUAUUUUCAAUUAAAAACUAUGUUUACUAAAAAUUCUUUUUGCAUAUUUGAGAAUUUGAGAAAACUAUGAUAAUGAAAAGUGUUUCAAAUUGAAUAAAUAAUGCAAAANNNNNNNNNNNNNNNNNNNNNNNNNNNNNNNNNNNNNNNNNNNNNNNNNNNNNNNNNNNNNNNNNNNNNNNNNNNNNNNNNNNNNNNNNNNNNNNNNNNNAUCGCGGGAUGGUUCGCGGGGCGGAUCGAGGGACGUGAGGACGUUCCACUACAUCAACCGCGUUUCUUAACGCUUCUGCUUUGCGAUCUACAAGGGUACGUAGAUCGGAAAUCCCCUCUCGUAGAUGGACAUCACCAUGAUAGGUCUUUGUGCGCGUAGGAAAAUUUUUGUUUCCCAUGCGACGUUCCCCAACAGUGGCAUCAUGAGCUAGGNNNNNNNNNNAAAAAGUUUUUGUGAGCGGUGAUGUGCGUUUUGCUGCCCUCCUUAGUCUUUUCUUGAUUCCGCGAUAUUGUUGGAUUGAAGCGGCUUGGACCGACAUUACUCGUACGCUUACGAGAGACUGGUUUCAUCGCUACGAGUAACCCCGUUGCUCAAAGAUGACCGGCGAGUGUCGGUUUCUCCAACUUUAGUUGAAUCGGAUUUGACUGAGGAGGUCCUUGGAUGAGGUUAAAUAGCAAUUCAUACAUCUCUGUUGUGGUGUUUGCGUAAGUAAGUAAGAUGCGAUCCUACUAGAUACCCAUGGUCACCACGUAAAACNNNNNNNNNNNNNNNNNNNNNNNNNNNNNNNNNNNNNNNNNNNNNNNNNNNNNNNNNNNNNNNNNNNNNNNNNNNNNNNNNNNNNNNNNNNNNNNNNNNNACUUCUUGAUCCAGCAAGAGAGAUGGAGAGGUAGAUGAGUUCUCCGGCAGCGUGACGGCGCUUCGGAGGUUGGUGGUGAUCUAAUCUCAGCAGGGCUCCGCCCGAGCUCCGCAGAAAUGCGAUCUAGAGGAAAAACCGUGGAGGUAUGUGGUCGGGCUGUCGUGGCAAAGUCGUCUCAAAUCAGCCCUAAAACCUCUCGUAUAUAUAGGUGGGAGAGGCGGGGCCUUGCCUUGAGGCUCAAGGAGCCCCAAGGGGGUCGGCCGAGCCAAGGGGAGAAGUCCUCCCCUUCCAAACCGAAUCCAACUAGGUUUGGAAGGUGGAGUCCUUCUCUCCUUUCCCACCUCCUCCUUUUUUUCCUUUCUCUUUGAUUUCUUAUUCCUUGGCGCAUAGGGCCUUCUUGGGCUGUCCCACCAGCCCACUAAGGGCUGNNNNNNNNNNUCCCCAAACCGAGUCCAACUUGGUUUGGUGGGUGGAGUCCUUCUUUCCUUUCCCACCUCCUCCUUUUUUUCUUUUCUCUUUGAUUUUCUUCCUAUGGCGCAUAGGGCCUUCUUGGGCUGNNNNNNNNNNCCCAAACCGAGUCCAACUUGGUUUGGUGGGAGGAGUCCUUCUUUCCUUUCCCACCUCCUCUUUUUUUUCUCUUUGAUUUUCUUCCUAUGGCGCAUAGGGCCUUCUUGGGCUGUCCCACCAGCCCACUAAGGGCUGGUGUGCCACCCCCAAGGCCUAUGGGCUUCCCCGGGGUGGGUUGCCCCCCCCCCGGUGAACUCCCGGAACCCAUUCGUCAUUCCCGGUACAUUCCCGGUAACUCCGAAAACCUUAUGGUAAUCAAAUGAGGUCAUCCUAUAUAUCAAUCUUCCUUUCUGGACCAUUCCGGAAACCCUCGUGACGUCCGUGAUCUCAUCCGGGACUCCGAACAACAUUCGGUAACCAACCAUAUAACUCAAAUACGCAUAAAACAACGUCGAACCUUAAGUGUGCAGACCCUGCGGGUUCGAGAACUAUGUAGACAUGACCCGAGAGACUCCUUGGUCAAUAUCCAAUAGCGGGACCUGGAUGCCCAUAUUGUAUCCUACAUAUUCUACGAAGAUCUUAUCGUUUGAACCUCAGUGCCAAGNNNNNNNNNNUACCAUUCUGGAAACCCUCGUGACGUCCCUGAUCUCAUCCGGGACUCCGAACAACAUUUGGUAACCAACCAUAUAACUCAAAUACGCAUAAAACAACGUCGAACCUUAAGUGUGCAGACCCUGCGGGUUCGAGAACUAUGUAGACAUGACCCGAGAGACUCCUCAGUCAAUAUCCAAUAGCGGGACCUGGAUGCCCCAUAUUGUAUCCUACAUAUUGUACGAAGAUCUUAUUGUUUGAACCUCAGUGCCAAGGAUUCAUAUAAUCCCGUAUGUCAUUUCCNNNNNNNNNNGUCAGUAUCGCAUACCUAUUUCAAUCUCGUUUACCGGCAAGUCACUUUACUCGUUCCGUAAUACAAGAUCCCCUGACUUACACUAAGUCACAUUGCUUGCAAGGCUUGUGUGUGAUGUUGUAUUACCGAGUGGGCCCCGAGAUACCUCUCCGUCACACGGAGUGACAAAUCCGAGUCUCGAUCCAUACUAACUCAACGAACACCUUCGGAGAUACCUCUAGAGCAUCUUUAUAGUCACCCAGUUACGUUGCGACGUUUGAUACACANNNNNNNNNNUCAAUAGCGGGACCUGGAUGCCCAUAUUGGAUCCCACAUAUUCUACGAAUAUCUUAUCGUUUGAACCUCAGUGCCAAGGAUUCAUAUAAUCCCGUAUGUCAUUCCCUUUGUCCUUCGGUAUGUUACUUGCCCGAGAUUCGAUCAUCAGUAUCCGCAUACCUAUUUCAAUCUUGUUUACCGGCAAGUCUCUUUACUCGGUCCGUAAUACAAGAUCCCGUGACUUACACUAAGUCACAUUGCUUGCAAGGCCUGUGUGUGAUGUUGUAUUACCGAGUGGGCCCCGAGAUACCUCUCCGUCACACGGAGUGACAAAUCCCAGUCUCGAUCCAUACUAACUCAACGAACACCUUCGGAGAUACCCGUAGAGCAUCUUUAUAGUCACCCAGUUACGUUGCGACGUUUGAUACACANNNNNNNNNNNNNNNNNNNNNNNNNNNNNNNNNNNNNNNNNNNNNNNNNNNNNNNNNNNNNNNNNNNNNNNNNNNNNNNNNNNNNNNNNNNNNNNNNNNNNNNNNNNNNNNNNNNNNNNNNNNNNNNNNNNNNNNNNNNNNNNNNNNNNNNNNNNNNNNNNNNNNNNNNNNNNNNNNNNNNNNNNNNNNNNNNNNNNNNNNNNNNNAUGAUUCUCCUAAUGAUGUGAUCCCGUUAUAAAGUAACAACACUUGCCUAUGGCCAGGAAACCUUGACCAUCUUUGAUCAACGAGCUAGUCAACUAGAGGCUUACUAGGGACAGUGUUUUGUCUAUGUAUCCACACAAGUAUUGUGUUUCCAAUCAAUACUAUUAUAGCAUGGAUAAUUAACGAUUAUCAUGAACAAAGAAAUAUAAUAAAAACUAAUUUAUUAUUGCCUCUAGGCUCCAACAGUCUCCCACUUGCACUAGAGUCAAUAAUCUAGUUCACAUCACCAUGUGAUUCCAACGAAUCCAACACCCAUAUAUUUAUGGGGUCUGAUCACGUCUUGCUCGUGAGAGAGGUUUUAGUCAAUGGUUCUGAAACUUUCAGGUCCGUGUGUUCUUUACAAAUCUUUAUGUCAUCUUAUAGAUGCUGCUACUAUGUGCUAUUCGGAAAUGCUCCAAAUAUCUACUCUACUAUACGAAUCUGUUUCACUACUCAUAGUUAUUCGGAUUAGUGUCAAAGCUUGCAUCGACNNNNNNNNNNUGAACUCUUUAACCACCUCCAUAAUUGAGAAAAAUUCCUUAGUCUAUUUAGUUACUAAGGAUAACUUUGACCGCUGAUCAGUGAGUCAAUCCUGGAUCACUCUGUGUACCUCUUAACAGACUUGCUGCAAGGCACACAUCAGGUGCGGUACUCAGCAUGGCAUACUUUAGAGUCUACGGCUAAGGCAUAGAAGACGACCUUCGUCUAUUCUCUUUAUUCUGCAGUGGUCGGGUUUUGAGUCAUACUCAAAUUCACACCUUACAACACAGUCAAGAACUCCUUCUUUGCUGAUCUAUUUNNNNNNNNNNNNNNNNNNNNNNNNNNNNNNNNNNNNNNNNNNNNNNNNNNNNNNNNNNNNNNNNNNNNNNNNNNNNNNNNNNNNNNNNNNNNNNNNNNNNAAAGUCGUCUCAAAUCAGCCCUAAAACCUCCGUAUAUAUAGGUGGGAGGGAGGGGACCUUGCCUUGGGCUCAAGGAGCCCCAAGGGGGUCGGCCGAGUCCAAGGGGGGAGGACUCCCCCCAAACCGAGUUGGACUUGAUUUGGUGGGAGGGAGUCCCCCUUCCUUCCCACCUCCUCCUUUCUUUUUCUUUUCUCUUGAUUUUCUCUUCUUGGCGCAUAGAGCCCUUUUGGGCUGUCCCACCAGCCCACUAAGGGCUGGUGUGCCACCCUCAAGGCCUAUGGGCUUCCCCGGGGUGGGUUGCCCCCCCCCCCCGGUGAACUCCCGGAACCCGUUCGUCAUUCCCGGUACAUUCCCGGUAACUCCGAAAACCUUCCGGUAAUCAAAUGAGGUCAUCCUAUAUAUCAAUCUUCGUUUCCGGACUAUUCCGGAAACCCUCGUGACGUCCGUGAUCUCAUACGGGACUCCGAACAAAAUUCGGUAACCAACCAUAUAACUCAAAUACGCAUAAAACAACGUCGAANNNNNNNNNNNNNNNNNNNNNNNNNNNNNNNNNNNNNNNNNNNNNNNNNNNNNNNNNNNNNNNNNNNNNNNNNNNNNNNNNNNNNNNNNNNNNNNNNNNNACCUCAGUGCCAAGGAUUCAUAUAAUCUCGUAUGUCAUUCCCUUUGCCCUUCGGUAUGUUACUUGCCCGAGAUUCGAUCGUCAGUAUCCGUAUACCUAUUUCAAUCUCGUUUACCGGUAAGUCUCUUUACUCGUUCCGUAAUACAAGAUCCCUCAACUUACACUAAGUUACAUUGCUUGCAAGGCUUGUGUGUGAUGUUGUAUUACCGAGUGGGCCCCGAGAUACCUCUCCGUCACACGGAGUGACAAAUCCCAGUCUCGAUCCAUACUAACUCAACUAACACCUUUGGAGAUACAUGUAGAGCAUCUUUAUAGUCACCCAAUUACGUUGUGACGUUUGAUACACACAAAGCAUUCCUCCGGUGUCAGUGAGUUAUAUGAUCUCAUGGUCAUAGGAACAAAUACUUGACACGCAGAAAACAGUAGCAACAAAAUGACACGAUCAACAUGCUACGUCUAUUAGUUUGGGUCUAGUCCAUCACGUGAUUCUCCCAAUGACGUGAUCUAGUUAUCAAGCAACAACACCUUGUUCAUAAUCAGAAGACACUGACUAUCUUUGAUCAACUGGCUAGCCAACUAGAGGCUUGCUAGGGACAGUGUUUUGUCUAUGUAUCCACACAUGUAAAUGAGUCUUCAUUCAAUACAAUUAUAGCAUGGAUAAUAAACGAUUAUCUUGAUACAUGAGUUAUAAUAAUAACUAUAUUUAUUAUUGCCUCUAGGGCAUAAUUCCAACAGAUAGUUGUGAGGAAUUGAGUGUUUGAAUCAUUCUACACAAUAUUGUUGCGUACAAAAUAAUUUUCCCUCCUUUACCUGUCUGGUAUGAGGACGAUUAAAAAAAUUAUUGAUAAUUCUGUUGGCCACAACAAAGUCGCAAUAUUCGUGAUAAUCGAAAGAUUUUAUGUGCACUACAUGUGCCGUAGAGGAAUUAUUUUGAAGGCACUCUGACCUUAAAAUUUGAAUGCGCCACUCAUUAUUCUUGAAUGGAUUCAAGAAUGAUGCAAAAUAUUCAACUAUUGGCUGGGUUAUUUUGAUACUUCAUGGUAUUCAUAGACACAUCUAGAAGAUGGUCUUAGGUGUGUAUCAUCCACACAAAACCAUGUGUUUACUGAAUUAAGUGCUCAAAUUGACUAAUUUGGAGCAUAUGCAUGGGAUAAUUCCAUCGGAAUGGAAAUAUCGUUGAAUUUGAUUCACGAGAAAUUCAUGGUCAUAUUCAAUACGGUGUGUACCUACCCAGAAUGGUGUGGCUAGAUCUCUUGUCAAAAAGAGUCAAGUUGCAUGGCCAUUGUUACUGAAUUGUGAUGAUCCAACAUUUUUUUGUUGGUAACAUGCGGUUUCACACGCCGCAUAUUUGGUAUAAAUGAGGUCAAAUGCAUUUAAUACCAUAUCCCCUUACGGCCUGUACGUGGAAAUCAGUGAAGAAUUGCCCAUCUGCGAUAAUUCGGUUGCACACCGAUAUCACCACCCGAGCAUACAUUACGGCAUUCACAUAUAUUUGGGAUCUAUGUGAGGAAUAACUGUGGUAUGAUUGUUAAUCCGUCAAAUACGUUAACCCUCGCGAGGGAGUUAUUUGUAGCUCGUACGCUGAUUGCUUUUGCAAUAAAGACAUUUUCUCGCAUUAGGGGGGGAAAUGUAUCGCAUAGAAUGCCAGGAAAUGCAAAAGAAACUAGAGAUUCAGAUUAUGAGAAUUUGCAACAUAUUGCAAAUAAUCUGCCAUAUACAUUUACUGAUGACAAAGGCGUCACUGAAUUUUCGUACCGAAACGAGUGGAGGUACCUAAUAACCACUCGUAUCCCGAGAUGAGAGCAAGAGGGGGAGAAUUCUGGUCACAUGGGAUUAAGUUCUCAUAUGUUUCUGCGGAAAUAGAGGAAACUGCCUCCUCAAUCAGUAAAUGUGAUUCAACCUCGCGUUGAAUGACACCUGAUGGAUGCGCGUCAUCCAUAGCCCAACACCGAUGUGCACACAUUUUUUUAUGGUGCUGGGACAUCGAAACAUCUUGAUUCUGUUGUUGUGGGAAAUCACAAGGAGUUAAGAGGCAUAAUGAGAAUUUCAUUGAUGAUAUUGAUUCAUGAGAAUCAUAUAUUGAAGUCUACAUAUGUAGGCAUAAAUUUCUUCUUGAGAAUUGCUGAAAUCCUUUUGGGCUGUGAACCAAAAUCCAUGAAGAGUGUCGUUGACACUUAUAUUGGUUCAAAUGAAAGGAAGCAAUUAAGGAGAGUAGCACUCGCUCAUCAAAAGAGAGGUGUUUACCAUAGCAAAACUUACUCCUCAUAAGUACCUUCCGUAGGGAAGAGAAGUGAGUUUUCGUUCAGAAACAAAAAUAGAUGAUGUGGUGAGAAAGCGAGGCUUGUAGCACAUGGGUUUCCACAGAGACCCGACAUCGGUUAUGAUGUAGCAUACCUUCUCGGUAUAAGUGGAAUUAUGUUCCGAUACCGAAUUGGCAGUAUAAAUCCAUGUGGUUGAUGUAUGUAAUGGCUACAUACUCACAUGGAUCAUUCAGUUUGGAUAUAUAUAUUGAAGUCAUUGAAAUGGCUUAAUAUUCCGAAUACAAUGAUAUGUCGCAACAUGUGUGAAGCUUCACAAGUCAUCCCACGACUCUGAAGAUGUCGGAGAGUUGUGUGGUACAACCAACUAAGUGAGUUACUCCUUGAUAAGAAUUACUCUGACACUAAUGAUUGUUGAUGUGUAUUCGUGAAGAUAUCCUUAAUUGGAUUUACAUCAUGUUAUUGAUGUGGAUGAUCUUAUCAUCAAUGUCUGUACAUGACAUAUUAGAUAUACACAAUCAUUUUGAGACGGAUAUUUGGGUCAAACCAAAUGGUGCUAAGUUUAUAGCUUCAGCAUAUUCCCUCGGGAAUAAAUGUAUGUCAGUCUUCAUAUAUCUAGAAAUAUUGAAAAAGUUUAAUAUGGAUAUAUCUUAUCAAAGACACAUAUGGUCAUAUUAUACCUGGCAUGGGACACAUGCCCAUUCAAACCUAGGGGAGAUGGUGAAGUGAUAAUGGACAUGAAGUUCCAUAACUGAAUACCAUCGGAGCACUCAUAUACAUUGCAAAAUAAGUUAGGCCUGACACUAUAUUUGUUGGCAAUUUAUUGAUAGUGCAUCCCUAAUAAAAGGUAUAAUUGUUGGUGUAAGGAAUAUCUUGAGAUAUGUCCAAAACACAAAAGGUCUUGAUUAAUUCCAUUUAGAAAAUCAAGAUGGGACCAUGAUGUGAUAUCCUGAUAGUGGCUGAUAAUCUGAUCCCAACAAUGCCAUAUCAAGGACUGGAUUUACUAGAAGAGUAUUAUAUGGGAAGCCUUCAGAAUAGACUCUAAAAGGGUCCUUCCUAAGAUAAUUCUACCAUAACUACUUUGAAGCAUGACAAGAUAUACAUGUCUUUGCAGAAUGACUGGUCACAUGUGAGAUCAUGUGAAGAUUCAUUGGAAUCAAUUAUCAUUAUCUACCAUAAUGCCACUUGUAUUUCUUAUGAGUUAUAUUUAUCCUCGCAAAUUACAGAAAUGUAAGAGGAUAAUAUGCAAACAAAUUAUUGUGAGAUUCACAAUGUCUCUACCAACGUUUAUAUUUCAAAAUCAGGUUCGUGAAAUUGUUAUGAGAAAACAUUGAUGUUUGCAAAGUUCAGGGGAAGUAAAAUCCCAAGUUAUAACCUGUUGGUGAUCUUCAGAUCAUUCAUAUUAUAAUCUUUUUUACUUUAUGAGGCUUUGAAGAUGGUUUCUCAAAUAAAGUUUUUAACGAGACAAUAUAAAUACAAGUGCGGAUGUAUGUCAUAUUGGUUUUUCCUUAUAUUUUUCUCACUGGGUUUUUAAUGGAGUUUUCGAUGGCAUAUUAUUAUAAGGUUCUCCUUAAUUUUUUCCACAGGAUUUUUGAAGGAGUUUUCAGUUUGCAAUAUACGGAUGACGAAUUGAUCAAAAGAGAAUGUUGCGAAAUAAAACAUGUGAUCAAUUGUAUGGGAGGGAUGCCUCCGAGGAGGUGCCCGUUGAGGAAAAUGUGUCUCCCCAACACACCCCUUCAUCUUGUAUAUAAGUGGGUCUCCCAUAUUGCAAUGAAACUAAUGGAUCAUUUGAACUCUUUAUUUGUCUCUCUUUGCAUUCAUUCUACAACACUUCUGACGGAAAACCGUCACCUGAUCACAGGAAAAAAAAAUACACGGGAUGCAGAGAGAUGAAACGGACAAACAGCACAGCACCGACGACGCAUCAAUCAAGGUCAGUAAUACAAAUACAGGUACACAAACAUACAUCACCCACGCAGCCCUUGCCAGCGUUCCCACGGUAACGCAACACAACACACAAAUCCACGACACACGUUACGGAACAGCCCGUAUACAAACUCACGACGCCGCGUCCUCCCAACACGCAGCACGCCACAAAAACAGCUACGGGUACAUUACCACUACAUGUUUUUUCUUUUUUCUUUUUGGGGUACAGUACAGACGGUGUUGAGGUCUGGGAGACGACUCCGGCGCAAAUGACCGCCGUCGCGUCGUGUCGUGUCUCCCCGGACCAAUAAAUAUAUCAAGCCUUCUCCAAGAUGGAAGCGCUAUGUACAUACAACGGGUUCGAUCGUUCUUCGUCUCCGGCCGCCCUACCAGGACUGCUCCGCGUUGCCGUCACCUGCAUUGUUCCUUUUUGUUUUGUUUUUGAGAAUGAAGAGGGAAUGAAAUCCAACCGGAGAGAGAGAGAGAGAGAGAGAGAGAGGUCUCGAGCAGGUGAAAAUGGCGUCUUAAGGCGAGAAUUGUACCUUUUUCUCUUGCUCUUGUCCGACGAGGACGAGGUCGGGUUGCUGUGCCAGUUCCGCUUGCGCUGGUUGAUGAACCAGUUGUUGAUCUGCUUCAGCUGUAGCCCCGUCUCCUGCACCAGCCGCGCCUUGUCCUCCUCCUAACAAACCCACACACCACACCAGAGAGAGAUCGAUUCAUGACCAUCGGUCGCAGCAGCGGAGCAAAAAUUGCAGGUAACGAAAGGGUGGUGACGAUGGUAUCUGCACUGCGGGCUGUCACUUACAGUUGGGUACGGCCAUUUCGCGUGGGCUUGCCACCAAGCCUUCAGGGUGGACGCCGUGUCUCCCGGGAGCUUCCCGGCCCUUCGCUUCCGGAGUAUCUCUUCCCUGAUGUCCACAAGCUUUUCUCUGUACCCCUGCAAGCCAGGAAUUUUGUUUAGUUCAGACAACUAACAAACAUGGUGGCAGCUGACAGAAUGGUAGUGCAGUAAGUUUUACCUGUUUAAGCUCGUGCUUCAGCUCUUGCCUGACGCGCUCGACCAAGGAUCUCUCACCCUCGGUUAGCAUCCCGAAGCCCAUGCCAUCGGACACGUCGUUUCCGUCGAACAUGUUGCUCUCGCUGUCGACCGGGUUGUCUUCAUCAUCAGACAUAGUUGCCCCGGUGCCUUCGCCAGGAGAUGCCCCUAUGUGAAGAACCAAUAUUAGCAGAACUCAGAACCGGCCAAUCUCCAACUUAUCUUAUAAGAACAGGUAUGCCUAUAUAGACAGGUUCGACAACUUAAGUCUGUAACUCUUGUAACUAUAUACUACUCCCUCUAUAAACUAAUAUAAGAGCAUUUAGAUCACUACUUUAGUGAUCUAAAUGCUCUAAUAUUAGAUUAUGGAGGGAGUAAUAUAUACUAGGAACUUAUCUUGUAAUAAAAGGUAUGCUAUAAAGACAGGUUUGACAACUUGAGUCUGUAACUAAUACUAAUAUAUAAGAACUUAUCUUAUAAGAAAAGGUAUGGCUAUAGAGACAGGUUCGACAACUUAAGUCUGUAGCUAAUACUAAUAUAUAAGAACUUAUCUUAUAAGAAAAUGUAUGGCUACAAAGAUAGGUUGGACAACUUAAGUUUGUAACUCUUGUAACUAAUACUCCCUCCGUCCGGAAUUACUUGUCAUAGAUGUAUAAAAAUGGAUGUAUCUAGAACUAAAAUGCAUCUAGAUACAUUCAUUUCUCUGACAAGUAAUUCCAAACGAAGGGAGUACUAAUAUAUAAGAAACCGAAAUGAUACUGCUAUAAAGAUGGACCUAGUAUCUCAUAGAACCUACAAGGGUGUGAAUUAUGACCUAUAUUUUCUAUCAGGGAAUGCAACAGUAGAGGAAAUAAGGGUCAAGUCAUCGAGCUCUCCCUAGUUGAAUCUUGAAAUGAUUAACUGUUUGUGUUCUAUCGCUGGGUGCAGAGAGCAGAAGUAAUAAAACCCUUCUUCUAUUUAUUUUUGCUGUGGCGGAAGAUCCCCUAAUAGGACCUACAAUUCCACUAUCUCAUAGGAAGUAAUAAAAAGUUUUGUAGCUAUGUUAGUUCAUUUUGUAACCAUGAAGUGUUCUUCAAUAUGCGAAACUUUUUUGAACCAGAGAAGGGGGCUUCUUUUCCUAUAUGAAUUGUCUGCCUUUUCGACGAGCAACAUGAAAUAUCUGAAAGGGUACCCCUUAUGUGAUGGUUCCGUAUUAUAUAGUCCGUGACUGUUGCGCGUGGAAGCUAAUUGCACUAGACGCAGUAAGAGAAGCUUUAUCAGGACAGCUUAGCUAAGAUUAUGAACGCGAGGUACCGUCAGUUCAGUUGCGUGGUUGGUGCGACACAAGGGUGUAACUGAUAAUAUCAAAAAGGGAACCGCCACAUACACCCAACUGAAAUCUCAAAAGGUAUAGCUUUAAAGCCAGGUUCAACAGCUUAAGUCUGCAAUUCUUGUAACUGAUAAUAUCAAAAAGGGAACCGGUACUACUAUAGUGGACCUAGUAUCUCAUAGGACCUACAAGGAUGUGAAUUAUGACAUAAAUUUUCUACCAGGGAAUGCAACAAUAGAGGAAAAAAAGGGUUGAGUCAUCGAGCUCUUUCGAGUUGAAUUUUGAAAUCAUUAACUACUUGUGUUAUGUGUGUAUUCGCUGGGUGCAGAGAGCAGAAGUGAUAAAACACUUCCUUUUAAAUUUUCGAGUUGUGGCUAAAGAUCCCAGAAGACGGUGUCCCCCACUCUAAGUAGCACGAUAGUCACUAUGACUAACAGUUAACAAGCAUGUAGUGUACAUAUUACACAAAAUACUCUUCCUAGAGAACUUGAGAAGCACAUAUCUUGCUGUUGAACUGAUGAACUUAAGAUGCUCUGUUCUUACCUGUAAGACUCUGUAAAGUCUGCUCGAGCUCCCAGCAAGCCAUCACCGCUUCCAUGGCGUGGACGCGCACAUGCUGCUGGAGCUGUUCCUUGAAGGAACAGAGGAGGAGCACGUAGUGUGUCUGCAACAAAAAAGGAGAGCAAAACCUUUAAGUAUAACAUAUAUAGAAAAGGCAUGGGGUCAGUCAAUAUGAUGAUGUUACAUGAGGCAGGAGGAUUGCCAUUUCCAGGCACAAGAAAAGGCUACUGCUAAGCGAAGGUACACUUGUAGUAUUUUUUGGUUUGCUUUUGUCUCUAUCGCAGAGGUGAGGCGCUUGUGGUUGAGAAAACAAAGUUGCUCACAGCUAGAGCCUGGAGCAUACUCCUAGCAAGCAGUAGUUUAUUUGCAGGUGGGAUGGGUAAUAAUCAGGUGAUGAACUAGCAUGAUAUUCGCAGCUGAAGAACCUAAGCUAAACCAAAUCCACCGGCAGAAAUUAGCGAGUACUAAUCCCAUUUAAUCUCCUAUGCAAGUUGCAACAAAUCAAACAUGUUUUGUGCAUUCGAAAAAAAGGUAAUCUGGCUAGCCCGUUUGAAACCCCAAUCCCGACACGAGCAGGGCAAUUCCAUGGCCAAAUCACAUCCAAUCCCCAAGUUUUCAAACCACAAACGCACGCACGCACGCACGCCGCGUCAAUCUGCUGCUACUGCCGGAGCACGCGCGGGGCAGCCGACGUGGCGUGAAGGAAGGGCGUCUCGUAGUAGCAGCAGCUCACCAUGAAGAGGUCGAGCUCCUCGCCGCCGGAGAGCGCGCCGGCGGGGGGCAUGGGAGGCGGGGCGCGCGCGGCGAUCUGCGCGUCGAUGCGGGGGAGCUGGUCGACGGGGGUGGCGACGCGGAGGCAGGCGACGUGCGCCUCCAGCAGCCGCUCGUACAGCGGGUGCGCCNNNNNNNNNNNNNNNNNNNNNNNNNNNNNNNNNNNNNNNNNNNNNNNNNNNNNNNNNNNNNNNNNNNNNNNNNNNNNNNNNNNNNNNNNNNNNNNNNNNNUAUUUGCAACUCGAAACAGGAACUGCGGAAUAGGCGAAGGCUGGCAAAAGAUGAAGUGACGAUGCGCGUAGGAAAUGGUUGCAAGGUUGAUGCAAUCGCCGUCGGCACAGUGUCACUUCAGUUACCGUCAGGAUUAGUGAUGAACUUAAAUCAUUGUUAUUUAGUGCCUGCGUUGAGCAUGAACAUUGUAUCUGGAUCUUGUUUAUUGCGAGACGAUUACUCUUUUAAAUCAGAGAAUAAUGGUUGUUCUAUUUCUAUGAGUAACAUCUUUUAUNNNNNNNNNNAUCUCUGGAUCUUAAGUCUGAGAAUAAUGGUUGUUCUAUUUCUAUGAGUAACAUCUUUUAUGGUCAUGCACCGAAUGUGAGAGGAUUGUUCAUAUUGAAUCGUGAUAGCGAUACACAUAUACAUAACAUUGAGACCAAAAGAGUUAGAGUUAACAAUGAUAGCGCCAUAUUUUUGUGGCACUGCCGCUUAGGUCAUAUUGGUGUAAAGCGCAUGAAGAAACUCCAUGCUGAUGGACUUNNNNNNNNNNNNNNNNNNNNNNNNNNNNNNNNNNNNNNNNNNNNNNNNNNNNNNNNNNNNNNNNNNNNNNNNNNNNNNNNNNNNNNNNNNNNNNNNNNNNAGAUAGAACUUGACGAGGUUGUCGAACCUCUCAUCCCUCUGGAUGGUGGCGCAGGGCAAGGGGAAACCUCUGUCAUUGCGACGCCGGUUGAAUUGGAAGUUGAUGAUGAUGAUCAUGAAACUCCAGUUCAAGUUUAUGUCGAACCACGCAGGUCGACGAGACCACGUGCUGCUCCAGAGUGGUACGGUAAUCCCGUCUUAUCAAUCAUGUUGUUANNNNNNNNNNGUUGCGACGCCGGUUGAGGAGGAAGUUAAUGAUGAUGAUCAUGAAACUCCAGUUCAAGUUUCUGUUGAACCACGCAGGUCGACGAGAUCACGCGCUGCUCCAGAGUGGUACGGUAAUCCCGUCUUAUCAAUCAUGUUGUUANNNNNNNNNNGUACUGCCUGAGGGCCGCAAGGCCAUUCAGAACAAAUGGAUCUUUAAGAGGAAGACGGACGCUGACGGUAAUGUGACCGUUUAUAAAGCUCGACUUGUNNNNNNNNNNGACAACAAUGAACCUGCAAAUUAUGAAGAUGCAAUGGUGGGCCCAGAUUCCAACAAAUGGCUAGAAGCCAUGAAAUCCGAGAUAGGAUCCAUGUAUGAGAACAAAGUGUGGACUUUGGAGAUACUACCUGAGGGCCGCAAGGCUAUUCAGAACAAAUGGAUCUUUAAGAAGAAGACGGACGCUGACGGUAAUGUGACCGUUUAUAAAGCUCGACUUGUGGCAAAGGGUUUUUCACAAGUUCAAGGAGUUGACUACGAUGAGACUUUCUCACCCGUAGCGAUGCUUAAGUCCGUCAGAAUCAUGUUAGCAAUAGUUGCAUUUUUUGAUUAUGAAAUCUCGCAGAUGGAUGUCAAAACGACAUUCCUUAACGGUUUCCUUAAGGAAGAGUUGUAUAUGAUACAACCCGAAGGUUUUGUCGAUCCUAAGAAUGCUAACUAGGUGUGCAAGCUCCAGCGAUCCAUUUAUGGACUGGUGCAAGCAUCUCGGAGUUGGAACAAACGCUUUGAUGAGGUGAUCAAAGCAUUUGGGUUUAUACAAGUGGUUGGAGAAUCUUGUAUUUACAAGAAAGUGAGUGGGAGCUCUGUGGCGUUUCUAAUAUUAUAUUUGGAUGACAUAUUACUGAUUGGAAACAACGUAGAGUUUUUAGAGAGCAUAAAGGAUUACUUGAAUAAAAGUUUCUCUAUGAAGGACCUAGGAGAAGUUGCUUACAUUCUAGGCAUUAAGAUCUAUAGGGAUAGAUCAAAACGCCUGAUAGGACUUUCACAAAGCACAUACCUUGAUAAAGUUUUGAAGAGGUUCAAAAUGGAACAGUCCAAGAAAGGGUUCUUGCCAGUUUUACAAGGUACGAGAUUGAGUAAGACUCAGUGCCCAGCAACUGAUGAAGAUAGAGAGCAUAGGCGCUCCGUCCCCUAUGCUUCAGCCAUAGGUUCUAUCAUGUAUGCGAUGAUGUGCACUAGACCGGAUGUUAGCCUGGCCAUAAGUAUGGCAGGUAGGUUCCAGAGUAAUCCAGGAGUGGAUCACUGGACAGCGGUCAAGAAUAUCCUGAAGUACCUGAAAAGGACUAAGGAGAUGUUUCUCGUGUAUGGAGGUGACGAAGAGCUCGCCGUAAAAGGUUACGUCGAUGCAAGCUUUGACACAGAUCCGGACGACUCUAAGUCGCAAACCGGAUACGCAUUUAUUCUUAAUGGGGGUGCAGUAAGCUGGUGCAGUUCCAAGAAAAGCGUCGUAGCAGAUUCUACAUGUGAAGCGGAGUACAUGGCUGCCUCGGAGGCGGCUAAGGAGGGUGUCUGGAUGAAGCAGUUCAUGACGGAUCUUGGAGUGGUGCCAAGCGCACUGAAUCCAAUAACCUUGUUCUGUGACAACACUGGUGCCAUUGCCUUAGCAAAGGAACCACGGUUUCACAAGAAGACCAGACACAUCAAACGACGCUUCAACCUCAUCCGCGACUACGUCGAGGGAGAGGACGUGAAUAUAUGCAAAGUGCACACGGAUCUGAUAGUCAGUUGGUCAAUGAUAGUCAGUGUCUUCUGAUUAUGAACAAGGUGUUGUUGCUUGAUAACNNNNNNNNNNNNNNNNNNNNNNNNNNNNNNNNNNNNNNNNNNNNNNNNNNNNNNNNNNNNNNNNNNNNNNNNNNNNNNNNNNNNNNNNNNNNNNNNNNNNGGGGGGGGGGGGGCAACCCACCCCGGGGAAGCCCAUAGGCCUUGGGGGAGACACACCAGCCCUUAGUGGUCUGGUGGGACAGACCACAAGUGCCCUAUGCGCCAAGGAGAAGAAAAUCAAGAGAGAAAGAAAAAAAAGGAGGAGGUGGGAAGGAAGGGGGACUCCCUCCCACCAAACCUAGUCCAACUCGGUUUGGGGGGGGGGAGAGUCCUCCCCCUUGGCUCGGCCGACCCCCUUGAGGGUCCUUGGACCCCAAGGCAAGGCCCCCUCCCUCCCACCUAUAUAUGCGGAGGUUUUAGGGCUGAUUUGAGACGACUUUUCCACGGCAGCCCGACNNNNNNNNNNAGAGGUUUUAUGGCUGAUUUGAGACGACUUUUCCACGGUAGCCCGACCACAUACCUCCACGGUUUUUCCUCUAGAUCGCGUUUCUGCGGAGCUCGGGCGGAGCCCUGCUGAGACAAGAUCAUCACCAACCUUCGGAGCGCCGUCACGCUGCCGGAGAACUCUUCUACCUCUCUGUCUCUCUUGCUGGAUCAAGAAGGCCGAGAUCAUCGUCGAGCUGUACGNNNNNNNNNNCCGGAGCGCCGUCACGCUGCCGGAGAACUCUUCUACCUCUCCGUCUCUCUUGCUGGAUCAAGAAGGCCGAGAUCAUCGUCGAGUUGUACAUGUGUUGAACGCGGAGGUGCCGUCCGUUCGGUACUAGAUCGUGGGACUGAUCGNNNNNNNNNNNNNNNNNNNNNNNNNNNNNNNNNNNNNNNNNNNNNNNNNNNNNNNNNNNNNNNNUGGAGGUGCCGUUCGUUCGGCACUAGAUCGUGGGACGGAUCGCGGGACGGUUCGUGGGGCGGAUCGAGGGACGUGAGGACGUUCCACUACAUCAACCGCGUUUCUUAACGCUUGUGCUGUGCGAUCUACAAGGGUACGUAGAUCGAAUAUCCCCUCUCGUAGAUGGACAUCACCAUGAUAGGUCUUCGUGCGCGUAGGAAUUUUUUUGUUUCCCAUGCGACGUUCCCCAACAGUGGCAUCAUGAGCUAGGUUCAUGCGUAGAUGUCUUCUCGAGUAGAACACAAAAGUUUUUGUGGGCGGUGAUGUGCGUUUUGCUGCCCUCCUUGGUCUUUUCUUGAUUCCGCGGUAUUGUUGGACCGACAUUACGCGUACGCUUACGAGAGACUGGUUUCAUCGCUACGAGUAACCUCGUUGCUCAAAGAUGACUGGCAAGUGUCGGUUUCUCCAACUUUGGUUGAAUCGGAUUUGACCGAGGAGGUCCUUGGAUGAGGUUAAAUAGCAAUUCAUACAUCUCUGCUGUGGUGUUUGCGUAAGUAAGAUGCGAUCCUACUAGAUACCCAUGGUCNNNNNNNNNNUAUAAGGUUAAAUAGCAAUUCAUAUAUCUCCGUUGUGGUGUUUGCGUAAGUAAGAUGCGAUCCUACUAGAUACCCAUGGUCACCACGUAAAACAUGCAACAACAAUUAGAGAACGUCUAACUUGUUUUUGCAGGGUAUGCUUGUGAUGUGAUAUGGCCAACGAUGUGAUGUGAUAUAUUGGAUGUAUGAGAUGAUCAUGUUGUAAUAGUUAAUAUCGACUUGCACGUCGAUGGUACGGCAACCGGCAGGAGCCAUAGGGUUGUCUUUAAACUAACAUUUGUGCUUGCAGAUUCGUUUACUAUAUUGCUAGGACGUAGCUUUAGUAGUAAUAGUAUGAGUAGCACGACAACCCCGAUGGCGACACGUUGAUGGAGAUCAUGAUGAUGGAGAUCAUGGUGUGACGCUGGUGACAAGAAGAUCGUGCCGGUGCUUUGGUGAUGGAGAUCAAGAAGCACAUGAUGAUGGCCAUAUCAUGUCACUUAUGAAUUGCAUGUGAUGUUAAUCCUUUAUGCACCUUAUCUUGCUUAGAACGACGGUAGCAUUAUGAGGUGAUCUCUCACUAAAAUUUCAAGACGAAAUUGUGUUCUCCCCGACUGUGCACCAUUGUGACAGUUCUUCGUUUCGAGACACCACGUGAUGAUCGGGUGUGAUAGACUCAACGUUCACAUACAACGGGUGCAAAACAGUUGCACACGCGGAACACUCGGGUUAAGCUUGACGAGCCUAGCAUGUGCAGACAUGGCCUCGGAACACAUGAGACCGAAAGGUCGAGCAUGAAUCGUAUAGUGGAUAUGAUUAGCAUAGAGAUGCUUACCACUGAAACUAUUCUCGACUCACGUGAUGAUCGGACUUGAGAUAGUGGAUUUGCAUCAUGUACCACUCAAAUGACUAGAGAGAUGUACUUUUUGAGUGGGAGUUCUUAAGUAAUUUGAUUAGAUGAACUAAUUGUCAUGAACAUAGUCUAAUGGUCUUUGCGAAUUACGAUGUAGCUUGCGCUAUAGCUCUACUGUUUUUAUAUGUUCCUAGAGAAAAUUUAGUUGAAAAUUGAUAGUAGCAAACUUUGCAUACUGAGUCUGUAAAACCGAGGAUUGUCCUCGUUGCUGCGCAGAAGGCUUAUGUCCUUAAUGCACCACUCGGUGUGCUGCACCUCGAGCGUCGUCUGUGGAUGCUGUGAACAUCCGACAUACACGUUUCUGAUGACUACACGAUAGUUCAGUGCAAAAUACUUAAUGGCUUAGAAGCAAGGCGCCGAAGACGUUUUUGAAACGUCACGGAACAUAAGUGAUGUUCUAAAGAGAUGAAAUUGUGAUUUCAUGCUUGUGCCCUUGUUAAGAGGUACGAGACCUCCAACAAGAUUCUUCGUCCACAAAGUAAAGGAGAAAAGCUCAAUCGUUGAGCGUGUGCUCAGAUUGUCUNNNNNNNNNNACAAAAAUACUUAAUGGCUUAGAAGCAAGGCGCCGAAAACGUUUUGAAACGUCACGAAACAUAAGUGAUGUUCUAAAGAGAUGAAAUUUUGAUUUCAUGCUCGUGCCCUUGUUAAGAGGUACGAGACCUCCGACAAGAUUCUUUGUCCAUAAAGUAAAGGAGAAAAGCUCAAUCGUUGAGCGUGUGCUCAGAUUGUCUGAGUACGACAAUCGCUUGAAUCAAGUGGGAGUUAAUCUUCUAGAUGAGAUAGUGAUGGUUCUCCAAAGUCACUGCCACCAAGCUGUGAGAGCUUCGUGAUGAACUAUAACAUAUCAAGGAUAGAUACAAUGAUCCUUGAGCGAUUCGCGAUGUUUGACACUGCAAAAGUAGAAAUCAAGAAGGAGCAUCAAUAGUUGAUGGUUAGUAAAACCACUAAGUUUCAAGAAAAGCAAGGGCUAGAAGGGAUACUUCGUGAAACGGCAAAACAGUUGCUGCACUAAUGAAGAGACCCAAUAUUAAACCCAAACCCGAGACUAAGUGCUUCUAUAAUGAGGGGAACAGUCACUGAGGCGGAGCAACUCUAGAUACUUGGUAGAUAAGAAGGAUGGCAAAAGUCGAAAGAAGUAUAUUUGAUAUACAUGAUGUUGAUGUGUNNNNNNNNNNGAAAGUAGAAAUCAAGAAGGAGCAUCAAUAGUUGAUGGUUUGUGAAACCACUAAGUUUCAAGAAAGGCAAGGGCUAGAAGGGAUACUUCGUGAAACGGCAAAACAGUUGCUGCACUAAUGAAGAGACCCAAGAUUAAACCCAAACCCGAGACUAAGUGCUUCUGUAAUGAGGGGAACAGUCACUGAGGCGGAGUAACUCUAGAUACUUGGGAGAUAAGAAGGCUGGCAAAAGUCGAAAGAAGUAUAUUUGAUAUACAUGAUGUUGAUGUGUNNNNNNNNNNNNNNNNNNNNNNNNNNNNNNNNNNNNNNNNNNNNNNNNNNNNAGUUGCUAAGUGAUUAGUAACACGAAAUAAUAGCUACGGCAUAAACGGAGACUAGCUAAAGGCGAGGUGACGAUACGUGUUGGAAGUGUUUCCAAGGUUGAUAUGAUCAAAACGUCGCACACUCCCUCUACUAUCGGGAUAGGUGUUAAACCUAAAUAAUUGUUAUUUGGUGCUUGCGUUAAGCAUGAACAUGAUUGGAUCGUNNNNNNNNNNGGUUGCUAAGUGAUUAGUAACACGAAAUGAAAGCUACGGCAUAAACGGAGACUAGCUAAAGGCGAGGCGACGAUACGUGUUGGAAGUGUUUCCAAGGUUGAUAUGAUCAAACGUCGCACGCUCCCUCUACCAUCGGGAUUGGUGUUAAACCUAGAUAAUUGUUAUUUGGUGCUUGCGUUAAGCAUGAACAUGAUUGGAUCGUGUUUAUUGCAAUACGAUUAUUCAUUUAAAGAGAAUAAUGGUUACUCUAUUUGCUUGAAUAAUCACCUUCAAUGGUUUAUUGAAUCUCGAUCGUAGUGUUACACAUGUUCAUGAUAUUGGUGCCAAAAGGAUACGAGGUAAUGAUGAUAGUACCACUUACUUGUGGCGCUGCCGCUUGAGUCAUGUUGGUGUAAAUUGCAUGAAGAGGCUCCAUGAUGAUGGAUCUUUAUACUCACUUGAUUUUGAAUCACCGGUGACAUGCAAAUCAUACCACAUGAGCAAGGCCUUGUUUUCAUUGAGAUGAAACAAGAUAGUAACUUGUUGGAAGUGAUGCAUUUUGAUGUAUGCAAUCCAAUGGGUGUUGAGGCACGCAGUGGAUAUCAUUAUGUUCUUACUUCAAUGACGAUUUGAGUAGAUACAAGAGUAUUUACUUAAUGAAUCACAAGUCUGGAAUAUUGAAAAGUUCAAUUCUGUUUCAGAGUGAAGUUCGUCGUAACAAGAGGAUAAACUGUCUAUGACAUGAUCAUAGAAAUGAAUAUGUGAGUUACGAGUUUUGGUACGCAGUUAAGACAAUGUGGAAAUUGUUUCGCAGUUCAUGCCACCUGGAACAUCAUAGUGUGAUGAUGUGUCUUAACGUCAUAGCCACGCACUAUUUGGUAUGGUGCAUGCUAUGAUGUCUGUUAUCGAAUUACCACUAUCGUUUAUGGGUUAUGCAUUAGAGACAACCGCAUUCACUUUAAAUAGGGCACCGCGUAUUUCUGUUGAGAUGACACAGUAUAGACUGAGGUUUAGAGAAAUCUAAACCGUCGUUUCUUGAAAGUUUGGGGCUUCGACACUUAUGUGAAAAGGUUUCAGUCUGAUAAGCUCGAACCCAAAGCGGAUAAAUGCAUCUUCAUAGGAUAUCCAAAACAGUUGGGUACAUCUCCUAUCUCAGAUCCGAAAGCAAAGUGUUUGUUUCUAGAAACAGAUUCUUUCUCGAGGAAAGGUUUCUCUCGAAAGAAUUGAGUGGGAGGGUGAUAGAACUUGAUGAGUUUAUUGAACCAUCACUUCGACUAGUGUGUAGCAGGGCACACGAAGUUGUUCCUGUGGCGCCUACACCAAUUGAAGUGAAAGUUGAUGAUGGUGAUCAUCGAGCAUCGAAUCAAGUUACUACAAAUCUCGUAGGUUGACAAGGUCGCGUACUACUGCAGAGUGGUACGGUAACCNNNNNNNNNNAGGGUGGUAGAACUUGAUGAGGUUAUUGAACCAUCACUUCAACCAGUGUGUAGCAGGGCGUAGGAAGUUGUUCCUGUGGCGCCUACACCAAUUGAAGUGAAAGCUGAUGAUGGUGAUCAUCGAGCAUCGGAUCAAGUUACUACAAGCCUCGUAGGUUGACAAGGUCGCGUACUACUGCAGAGUGGUACGGUAACCCUGUCUUGGAGGUCAUGUUGUUGAGCAACAAUGAACCUACGAGUUAUGAAGAAAGCAAUGGUGGGCCCGGAUUCCGACAAAUGGCUGGANNNNNNNNNNNNNNNNNNNNNNNNNNNNNNNNNNNNNNNNNNNNNNNNNNNNNNNNNNNNNNNNNNNNNNNNNNNNNNNNNNNNNNNNNNNNNNNNNNNGGAAGAACUACUUGAUGGUCAUAGGACUAUUUAGUAAAGACGGAUCUCUAAAAGGAAGACAGACGAUGAUGGUGAUAAGUCACUAUUAAGAAAAGCUUGACUUGUCGCAAAGAUGUUUUCCGACAAGAUCAAACAGUUGACUAUGAUGAUACUUUCUCACUCGUAGCGAUGCUAAAAGUCUGUUAGAAUUAUGUUAGUAGUUGAUGCAUUAUUUAUGAAAUAUUGCACAUAGGAUGUCAAAACAUUGUUUCCUCGACGGUUUCCUUGAGCAAACAUUGUAUGUGAUACAACCAUGAGGUUUUGUCGAUCCUAAAGAUACUAACAAGUAUGCAAGCUCCAGCGAUCCUUCAAUGGACUGGUGCAAGCAUCUCNNNNNNNNNNUUAAGAACUACUUGAUGGUCAUAGGACUAUUGAGUAAAGAUGGAUCUUUAAAAGGAAGACAGACGACGAUGGUGAUAUGUCACUAUUAAGAAAAGCUCGACUUGUCGCAAAGAUGUUUCCGACAAGAUCAAAUAGUUGACUAUGAUGAGACUUUCUCACUCGUAGCGAUGCUAAAAGUCUGUUAGAAUUAUGUUAGUAGUUGCUGCAUUAUUUAUGAAAUAUUGCACGUAGGAUGUCAAAACAUUGUUUCCUCGACAGUUUCCUUGAGCAAACAUUGUAUGUGAUACAACUAGGAGGUUUUGUCGAUCCUAAAGAUACUAGAAAGUAUGCAAGCUCCAGCGAUCCUUCAAUGGACUGGUGCAAGCAUCUCGGAGUUGGAAUAUACACUUUGAUGAGAUGAUCAAAGAUUUUGGGUUUGUACAAGGUUUAUGAGAAACUUGUAUUUCCAAAGAAGUGAGUGGGAGCACGAUAGAAUUUCUGAUAAGUAUAUGUGGUUGACAUAUUGUUGAUCAGAAGUAAUGUAGAAUUUCUGUGAAGCAUAAAUGGUUGUUUGAAAGGAGUUUUUCAAAGGAAUACCUGGAUUGAGCUACUUGAACGUUGAGCAUCAAGAUCUAUGGAUAUAGAUCAAAACGCUUAAUAAAAGUUUCAACAAGAUGCAUGCCUUGACAAGUUNNNNNNNNNNGAUAGAUAAAAACGCUUAAUUGAAGUUUCAACAAGAUGCAUGCCUUGACAAGUUUUUGAAGGAAUUCAAAAUAGAUCAGCAAAGAAGGAGUUCUUGACUGUGUUGUAAGGUGUGAAUUUGAGUAAGACUCAAAACCCAACCACGGCAGAAUAAAGAGAAUAGACGAAGGUCGUCUUCUAUGCCUUAGUCGUAGACUCUAAAAUAUGCCAUGCUGAGUACCGCACCUGCUGUGUGCCUUGCAGCAAGUCUGUUAAGAGGUACACAGAGUGAUCCAGGAUUGAAUCACUGAUCAGCGGUCAAAUUUAUCCUUAGUAACUAAAUAGACUAAGGAAUUUUUCUCGAUUAUGGAGGUGGUUAAAGAGUUCGUCGUAAAGGGUUACGUCGAUGCAAGCUUUGACACUAAUCCGAAUAACUAUGAGUAGUGAAACGGAUUCGUAUAGUAGAGUAGAUAUUUGGAGCAUUUCCGAAUAGCACGUAGUAGCAACAUCUAUAAGAUGACAUAAAGAUUUGUAAAGAACGCACGGAUCUGAAAGUUUCAGAACCGUUGACUAAAACCUCUCUCACGAGCAAGACGUGAUCAGACCCCAAAACUAUAUGGGUGUUGGAUUCGUUAAAAUCACAUGGUGAUGUGAACUAGAUUAUUGACUCUAGUGCAAGUGGGANNNNNNNNNNCUCUAACGCUUCUGAUGUACGGUCUACAAGGGUACGUAGAUCUCUCAUCCCCUCUCGUAGAUGGACAUCACCAUGAUAGGUCUUCGUGCGCGUAGGAAAUUUUUUGUUUCCCAUGCGACAUUCCCCAACACUUUAACCUUCUCAUAACAUAUAUUGAUGACUUCAUGUUAUCCUUUGAAUUACUCACUUUGGCGGUCACAGUUUGAUUAUUGCAGUGCAUAAGAACACCCGACACAGGUUUCUCAACAACCGGUAAGUCACUCACCCACCAUCAUCAUUUCUCAAGAGCCGGCGAAGCCAAUCAGCUUUGAACGUAGUUGUAUCUAGUGAUGUGAGUUCUGUUUCCAUUGUUAACCUCAUUAAGAUGGUAUAAUUGCAAGACUUCCAAGAAACAAUGCCACCUCCAUGAGUGAAUACAUACCUGCUCGUGGCCUUUAUCUCAUCAGCACCACAUAUCUAGUUUGUGUCACUAUACCCUUCAAGUACAUUUGGCUAACCAAUGUAGUGAAUUCCAUAACUCGUAGUGCCUUUCAAAUAAUGCAGAAUUCUUUCAACGGCUUUCCAAUGAACAUCUCCUGGGUAUUAGACAAACCGACUCAGUUUGCUAAUAGCAAAAGAGAUGACGGGUCUCAUAGCGCUGGCUAAAUUGAUAAGUGAGCCAAUAAUUUGAGAGUAUUUCAAUCGGUCUCUAGCAAUUCUUUGAUUCUUUAGAAGCAACACGCUAGCAUCAGAUGGUGUUCGAGAGGGCUUGCAGUCACUAGAACCAAAGCGACUCGAGAUUUUUUUCCAUAUACUGAGAUUGAAGCAAUGUAAUCCCACCAUCAUCAUCUCUCAAGAGCUUGAUGUUCAGAAUAACAUCAGCUACUCCUAAAUCCUUCAUCUGAAAACAACAAGAUAGGAACUCCUUGACUUCCUUAAUAACAUUUAGAUUUAUUCCAAAAAACAAUAUGUCAUCAACAUACAAGGAAAGGAUAACUCCAUCGCCACCACAAUGGAGAUAUUACACACAUUUGUGAGCUCUGUUUACAACAAAGCAUGCAUUUGUUAGAGUUCUUUAAAACUUUUCAUGCCAGUGCUUAGGUGCUUUCUUAGGUCCAUACAAAGACUUCAACAACUUGCACACAUUUCCUUCCUAACCGUCCACUAUAAACCCAUCUGGUUGUUCCAUGUAUAUUUCCUCGUCCAACUCUCCAUUUAGGAAAGCAGUUUUAACAUCUAUUUGAUGAACGAGAAGACCAUGUGAGGUAGCUAGUGAAAGUAGUACUCGAAUGGUGGUCAGUCGAGCCACAAGUGAGUAAGUAUCAAAGACGCCUUUACCUUCCUUUUGGGUAUAACCCUUGGCCACGAGUCGUGUCUUGUAUUCCUCAAUAUUACCAUUAGGCCUAAGCUUCUUCUUGAAUACCCAUUUGCGAUCUAUAGGUUUGCACGCAUAAGGACGACCAAUGAUCUCCCAAGUUUCAUUUGCCAGGAUGGAAUCCAUCUCACUACGAACUACUUCCUUUGAGUGGUCAGCAUCUUCAGAUAAAUAGUCCUCGGAAAUAGAACUGGGAGUGUUAUGAGAUACACAAGAAAAUCAUCUCCAAAGGACUUUGCAGUCCUCUGUCUCUUGCUCCUUUUAUGAUUCUCAUUAUUGUCCUCCAUAUGCUCUUCAAGAUGUCACAUCAGAAUAGUAGGUUCAUGACAUGACAUGCAGUCAAUAUCGCUUCCCCCCACCAAGCCUUGGAGAAACCCAAUAUGUCUAACUUGGCGUUAACUAAAUCAUUUAACAAACUCACGAGGGCGCCCCAGGCUUUUUGCCACCUCGUGGCUCCUCGGGUCUUCUUCCGAGGUUCCCCGGGUCUCUUGUGGUCCACAAAAAAUCAUCAAAAAGUUUCAUUGUGUUUGGACUACGUUUGGUAUAGAUUUUUCGUAGAAGUCAAAAACACGCAAAAAACAGGAACUGGCACUGGGCACUAGGUUAAUGGGCUAGUUUCCCAAAAUGAUGUAAAAUAGCAUAUUAUUGCAUAUAAAGUAAACAAUAUUGGUAAUAUAAUAGCAUGAAACAAUCAAAAAUUCUAAAUAUGUUGGAGACGUAUCAGCAUCCCCAAGCUUAAUUCAUGCUUUUCCUCGAGUACGUAAAUGACAAAAAAAUGAUGUGGCAUGCUACCCAACAUGUAAUCUCUUUCAGGUGUAAUUGUUGAGAAAUGGUGGAGUAAUUGAUAUCAAAAUAAUAAUAUCCAUGAAUAUAAGAAUCAUAAUCAGUACUUUUUCAAAAUAUACUAUCCUUAAAGAAUGUUAUCCCUACUCAUUUGAUCAUGUUAGCAUGAUAUGACUCCGUCUUCACCGCAUAAGUAUAAAUCAUGAGCUCACGUGUGUCAAACCAGGUGAUACGUCCAUUUUGCAUCAUGAUUUCCUAUUAAUAUUUAUGUUAUUCUUGGUCAUUUUUCCAAUUUAUGAUACAAUUUUUAUGCCUUUUCUCUCUCUAUUUACAAGGUACAUCACAAAGAGGGAAAUCGUUGGGAAUUAGAAUUCUAGACCUAAAACCAAGAAAACGGGUGAAAAUACUUGACUCCAAAUGACCUGAAACUUCACAGAGAAUUUUUAUGGAAUAUAUAAUAAUUAUUGGUCCCAAAAUACACUAGACGGAGCCACCUACUGGCCAUAAGCUAACAAGGCGCCCCCUAGGCAUGCCGUGUUAGCUUAUGGGGCCUACGUAGGUGCCCUGGGCCCCUCGUCUCCUAUAAGGUGUGUUUUGAACAAGAAAAAAUCAAGAGGAUACUUUUGGGAUGAGGGGCCUCCAUAUUGAGGCAUAAAAUUGGGCACAGCCCCUUUUGCUCUCCGACAUAGAGAUUCUGUCGGGGAAACUUUUCUUCGAGAGGGGGAGGUCAAAGGCAUCCUCAUCACCAAUGCUUCCUCCUUUGUGGGAGAACCAAUCUUCAUCAACAUCUUCAUGAGCAUCGUCUGAUCUCAAACCCUAAUUCAUCACUUGUACUCACUCUUUGUCUCAAAACCUUAGAUUGGUACAUGUGGGUUACUAGUAGUGUUGAUUUCAUCUCAUAGUUGAUGUUUGUUGGUUUAUUUGGUGGAAAACAUUAUGUUCAAAUCCAUAAUCAUAAUUAUUACACCUCUGAUCUUGAACAUGUUGAUGAUGUGUGAGUAGUUACUUUUGUUCGUGAGGACAUGAGAGAAGUCUUGUUAUAAGUAAUCAUGUGAAGUUGGUAUUCGUUCGAUAUUUUGACGAUAUGUAUGUUGUUCCUUCUCUUAGUGGUGUUGUGUGAAUGUCAACUACAUGAAAUUCACCAUAUUACGGGUCGAAGGGAAGGAAUUGUGGAGUAAUAAUUAGAUGAUGUGUUGCUAGAGUGACAAAAGCUAGCUUAAACCCUUGUUUAUGCGUUAUUUUAUAAGGGGCUGAUUUUGAUCCACAUGUUCAUGCUAUGGUUAGAUUUAUCUUAAUUCUUCUUUCGUAGUUGCGGAUGCUUGCGACAGGGGGUAAUCAUAAGUGGGUUGUUUGUUCAAAUAAGAACAACACCUUAGCACCGGUCCACCCACAUAUCAAAUUAUCAAAGUCACGAACGCGAAUCAACUCAACAUGAUGAACAUGACUAGACAGAAAUUCCCAUGUUUCCUCGUGAGCGCUUGCUUCAUAUAAGAGUACUUUUAGACCUGUCCUUUUCUAUUAAAAUGAUUGGGAUAUCUUGUUGCACACUUGCUACUAUUUUUACUUGACACUUAUUACAAAUUAUCUUGCUACAAAACUAUCUAUUGUUGUUACUCACAACACUUGCAGAGAAUACCUUGGUGAAACUGCUUAUUUUUUCCUUCUGCUCCUCGUUGGGUUCAACACACUUAGUUACCGACAGGACUAUGAUUGAUCCCCUAUACUUGUGGGUCAUCAAGGCUCUUUUCUAGCACCGUUUUUGGGGUGUGAGGCGCCUUUGGUUAGAGGGAUUUGAUAAGGAAACAUGUUCGAUGCGAGCUGAAAUUUACUGUUGCUUGCUACUAUGGAUAGUAGCCAUUUGAAUGGUUCGUUUGAGGCAUCUUUGCCUCGAACGGAAGUGGAAAAAGGCACUUCUCAACCUACUGAAAAUAUUUAUUAUCAGAUUCCUUCGUUUAUGCUAGAGAAACUGCUAGCUAAUCCUUAUGCAUGACACGAUACAACUCAUCCUCAUUACCACUUGAUAUAUGUAGAUGAGAUUUUUGUAUUAUUUAAUCUUGCAAGUUUAUUCCAGGACAAAGUCAAUAAGAAGGUUUUCCCUUUAUCUUUGUAGGGAAAAGCAUUGAUGUUGUAUAAGAUAUUGGAUGAUAUUUGUAUUGACCAUUCUCAAAAUGAUUCAAGCCUGUGUGUAUCUACGCUAUCCCUGAAUUGGUAUGCUAGCACACACAGUACAUCAAUGUAUAUAUCAAAGUACAACCACAUGUAAUUAACGUUCAACUGAUAUAUACAUCAUGAGUCGCAACGAAAACAUUAAGGGUGUCGAGUCCCAUCAACGCCAAUGACAAGUUGAUGUGGGCCGUAACACUAAACUGUACUCUUACUCGUCGUAGAAGAAUCUCCUGCAAUAUGAUAUGUUGCAGCCGUAUAGGUCACUACAUUGAAUGUACCGGCAAGAUCGCAAUAAGAGAAAGCAGAUGAUACGACUAUUAUAUAUGCAAUAAUGAUUUGUCACUUUGUGUCUGUUUUGCAUAAAAGUUGAUUUAUUUUUGUUUUGGAAUAUCAGGAGUCUUCACUAUAGAGUUAUCUACCAUGACAUGGUUCCACCGACCGAUGUCUCAUAACCCACAAGUAUCAUAAGUUGCCCACAUUUAGUUAUCAAUCCGGUGUUGAGGGUUCGGAGAUGGAUCCAAGUCCAGAGACUCAAAUUGUCCGUAACCGGGGACAUGGCUAAUCGAUUAGGUUUUAACUCUACACACGUUUGCACACUUUACCGACAAGAUACGUUUCCCUCCUUGUAAGUCCUCGCACUGCGAGGUGUUUGAGGACAAGACAGAUGAAACAUGGUCUUUCAAAGAGUUUCCCUGACCCACAGCAGUGCCAAUCCAGUCCUAACGUCGACUACAUCUCGUACCACUGAUCCGGCCAAAGUCACCACAAAGAUCGACCAAGCCAGAACCCAUAUUGACUUUUCGUUUCACACGUAAGCAUCCAGGCAUGAAGUAUUCUUCCUUCUCUAUGAGUCCAUACCCAGCUCACUAGGCUAAUCCCACAUGGUAGAUCUCCGGGGAGACGUGGCUAUCCCACAUGGUAAACCUCCGGGGUGUCGUUUGAUCCAUUCCACCCAGUAGUGUGUAUUGAAAUAUUGUCUUGAGUCUUGAAGUCUUGAGGUCCUAAAGAUGGCAUCCCUGAAGAUGCCAUCAUGAAGUUGUCGUCAUUGAUGUAAGUCCUCCUUGUCACGCCACUCACGAUCACUCAUACCAAAACCCCGUCUACUAUAGAGUAAAAAUUAAAAUAAAUAACAUCUCGGGGCUUGAUAAUAGGGAGAUGGGUUCCUACCUCAUGCAUUAUACUCAACUACAAGAAGUCAAUACCACUAUGGGGGGUUGUUGUACUGUGACACUAAAUGCAAUAAAAUCAUAGGUAUGAAUAAAAUGGUCAAAGUGAACUUGCAUGGUAAAUUUAUGAAGAUAAUAAUGCUCUCAAAAAAUAACUUGGUAGAACUAUUCGUCACUCUCCGAUGAGAAUAUGUAUAGUCAAACAUUCCAUUCAUAUAAGCAAAUAAUUCUAGCAAUCAAUACAAUCAACUAAAAAGCAAAAAUAAUUACUAACAACUCUAGUAUUGAGAUGAAUGAAAUACUGAAGACAAAAGUUAAAACAACAAAACAUCAUCAAACAAACCAAGAAUAGUUUUCCUACAGUUAACCUAUUAUCAACAGCAACAAAGCAACAAAAUAAAACAAUAGUUAUUUCAGUGAAUACUUUACUAGCAAAAAGAAUUACAUUUGAAGAAGAAAAUAAAGAAAACUUUGAAUAGUAACACCCCAAAUAAUAUAAAUUUUUGUCCUAAUAAUACACAAGAGCAAAGAAAACACUAAAAAUAAAACUUUAACAAAAACACUAAAAUAUAAAACAACUAAAUAAACAGAACGUAUUUUUCAUAAAAUUUUGUUACCGAAAAGAAUUAAUUUCAAAGCUUUUAUCAAACUCUACUUAUGACCUAAACAAGGUUAACCUUGAAUUAAACAAAAAAAAUCAAAUUUAAUAGAAAUUAUUUCUGAUCCAAAAUAAAGUUAACAAAAUUAAAACUUAUACAACAAGUUAUUGAAAAUAUUUUCCAAAAGAAUUUAAUAAGCAUUGAUAUCAAUUUCAAGUUAUUUAUUAAACUAGAAUUGAUUCCAUGCAAAUCACGCUUAAAACAACAAACACUAAAAUAAAAAAUAAUUUUGUUGAGAAGCUUUUUAUACUUAAAAAAAAACUUAAAACAAUUGGUCACAAGCGGCAAAAGGAAUUAAUUUAAAAAUAUUUAAAACAAAUAAAUUAAAGGCUAAAGCAAGCAUAACUAAACAAUACUAUUUUUGGUAUAAAACCCUAAUUUAAACUAUUCUAAAAUUUAUAAAAUUAAACCUUCUUAUAAAUAAAGUCCCAAGGAACUAGUACAAAAGGGAGUCAACUCAAAACCUAUAUUUAAACAAAAGUUAUUCAUAAAAUAGUGAUUCAAACAAAUUUCAAUGAAUUCAAAUUUAAAGUACAUAAAUUUGAAAACUACUCGAACUAACAGAAAGUUUAUAAUAUUUGUGACCUAAUACAGAAAUAUUCAGUCAAACCUAUUUAAAACAUAAAAGAUAAAGCAAAAAACAAAAAGAGAAACUAUUAUGUUUUUAAAGUACAAACAAAAAAGAGAAAAAAACUAGCGAACACUAGGCCACGUGGCACGCUGUGAUAGGCCUACAGGUGUGCGCGUGUGGUGCAACACAGCGGACAACCCAGCUUUAAAAAGGAAACAUUUCGCAAUAAGUGAUCUAAUCUAGAGCGUUGAUCCAGAUCCAACGGUGGGGAAGAAGUCGUCGGCACUUACAGUGGGGAAAGAAGGUCCGGCAAGGGCUUGACGGCGGCGGGGCUUCACGCAACGAUGUGGGUGGCGUCUUUGGUGGUCGUCGACGGCGGUGGACAGAUCCAGUCAAUGGCGUCAAGGCUCUAACGCCGAUUGGUGGCGUGAUACGUCCAUUUUGCAUCAUGCUUUCAUGUUGAUAUUUAUCGCUUUUUGGGCUAUUAUUACACUUCACGAUACAAUACUCCUCUCAUCGGAGGGGACUCAUCACCAUCAACAUCUUCAUCAGCACCAUCUAAUCUCCAAACCCUAGUUCAUCUCUUGUAACCAAUCUCCGUCUCGUGACCCCGAUUGGUACUUGUAAGGUUGCUAAUAGUGUUAAUUACUCUUUGUAGUUGAUGCUAGUUGGAUUACUCGGUGGAAGAUUAUAUGUUCAGAUCCUUGAUGCUAUUCAAUACCUCUCUGGUCAUGAACAUAAUUAUGCUUUGUAAGUAGUUACUUUUGUUCCUGAGGACAUGGGAUAAGUCAUGCUAUAAGUAGUUAUGUGAAUUUGGUAUUCGUUUGAUAUUUUGAUGCGUUGUAUGUUGUUUCUCCUCUAGUGGUGUUAUGUGAAUGUCGACUACAUAACACUUCACCAUUAUUUGUGCCUAGAGGAAGGCAUUGGAAAGUAGUAAGUAGAUGAUGGGUUGCUAGAGUGACAGAAGCUUAAACCCUAGUUUAUGCGUUGCUUCGUAAGGGGCUGAUUUGGAUCCACUAGUUUAAUGCUAUGGUUAGACUUUGUCUUAAUUCUUAUUUCAUAGUUGCGGAUGCUUGUGAGAGGGGUUAAUCAUAAGUGGGAGGUUUGUCCAAGUAAGGGCAGCACCCAAGCACCGGUCCACCCACAUAUCAAACUAUCAAAGUAGCGAACGUGAAUCAUAUGAACAUGAUGAAAACUAGCUUGACAGAAAUUCCUAUGUGUCCUCAGGGAGCGCUUUACCUCCUAUAAGAGUUUGUCCAGGCUUGUCCCUUGCUACAAAAGGGAUUGGGUCACUUUUCUGCACCUUUGUUACUAUUGUUACUUGCUACUUGCUACGAAUCAUCUUAUCACACAACUAUCUGUUACCGAUAAUUUCAGUGCUUGCAGAGAAUACCUUGCUGAAAACCACUUGUCAGAUCCUUCUGCUCCUCGUUGGGUUCGACACUCUUACUUAUCGAAAGGACUACGAUAGAUCCCCUACACUUGUGGGUCAUCAUGGCAUCGGCGUCGGUAGGGGUGGUCGGAGACGAAUGGGGGUUGCUCUGCGAGGUCCGGCGGUGGCAAGAGCUCCGGAGAGGUAGUGUGACGGCGGCGGUGCGUGGGAGAGAGGUUCUAGGGGAACGGGGUGCGAAGAGAUCGGGCUUUAUGCCGGGGUUGCGGGUGAUAGAGCGGCAAGGGAGCGCGGGGAUCCAAUCGGAAUCAGCGAUCUCCGGCCAAGGCAAGAGCUCGGGCACAAUGAAGGAAGGGGAUGACCGCGUUUGGCUCGGGAUUGGGCAAGGCCCACGCGUCAGCGGGAGAGAGAGAGAACACGCAAUGGGAUCGACGGCCCAUUCGAUACAAAUUCGGAUCGGGUGGCGAAAUUUGGGCCCGAUCUGCUUCGCUAGGCCGCGCCACACGUUUCCUAAUAAACAAUGUUUUCCUUAAGAAACAUGUUUCCCCUUUUAUUUAAGAAUAGAAACAUAAAAGAUAAACAGGAAAAUGAAAAUAAUUCCAAAUAUAUAUAUAUAUAUAUAUAUAUAUAUAUAUGUGUGUGUGUGUGUGUGUGUGUGUGUGUGUGUGUGUGUGUGUGUGUGUGUUUUAUACUGAAUUGAUCAGAAAAAGAGAGUGGCCAGAGUAACAUUUUUCCACGGCCAAAAGAAAUAUUCUAAAAAUUGAUUUUUCUGAGAAUACCCAAAAUGGAUUUGAAAUCCUAUUCAAAUAUUUUCAAAAUACCCCUGGCUUUACUAGUCAAAUGCCUUUCAAAAAAUACCCUUGAAAUGGAGGGUCAUGUUUCUCCUCUCACUUUAUAAAUAUUCUCACAGGUUUUUUUGAAAUUUGAAAAUUCACAUAACUUCAAAUGGAAACCUUGGGUUUCAUAAAACUUCCAAAGGGAUUUCAAAAUCAUUUCUUUGAAACGUCCAACUCUCUUUCUUUUGAUUUGAAGAAGUCGUCUUAUCUCCUCUCUUGAAACUCCUUGAGUUGCAUAUAGUUUGUGUAAUUGAAAUGUUUCCAAAAUGGAAUUCAAAUCUUUUCAAAUCCCUUUUCAAAAAACUGGAAGAAGUCAUUUCGUCUUCUCUCUAGGUUUUGUAUUUGAAAUGGAUUCAAGUAUAGGAGGGCAAAUACAAAGUGAAAGUUUUGGGGAAGGUCAUGUUAUUCUCUCUCAUUCAAAGGUUUCAAAAAGUUUCAAAUUUCACUCAAUUUCAAUAAAUCACUCAAGCAAGCAAAAUAUAUAAUUGAUUAAUAUAACAUUUUAAAAUUUGGGAUGUCACAAACCUACCACACUUAAAAUGAAUCUCGUCCUUGAGAUUUGAAGAGGUUGGGAAGAAAAGGUUAGAGUUUUGGGGGGUCUUCUAGCAAAUCCGUUGGUCUUCACAAAAGGUCUCUAAUAUGUUCAUGGAAUAAAAAAUGUCUAUGGUUUUAUUUUAAAAAUAUGGGUUUAAAAAGUUUCACGAAAGUGUAAAUAAAAAGUAAAGAAAGUAAAAAUAACGAAUUGUGAAAAACAUUCAUCGAUUUUGAAAAAAGGUUAAUUUAUUUUGAAUAAAGUUCAUUGAACUGAAAAAAGGUUCACUAAUUUAGGAAAACAACAUUGAUUUUGGAAGAAGUUCAUCAAAUUUCGAACAAAAUCUCAUAAAUUUUUGAAAAAAGAUCAUCCAAAAUUGAAAAAGGUAUAUUGCUUUCUAAAAAUAUCCAUCAAAAAUUGAAAAAAGUUUACAAAAAUUAAAACAAAUGCUCUUUGAUUUGAAAAGGCUUGUUCAUUGGAAGCAAAUUUCAUCAAAAUAAAAAAGAAUGUGCAUUUUCGAAACAGGGAAAAGGGAAAAUAAAAGCGAGUAAAGAGAAGAAGAAGAAAAGAAAAAAAAGAAAAAAAGAAAAAACAGAAAAGAACCGAACAAAAACCAAUCAAUUAAAAACCUAAACAAAGAUCAAAACCGGAUAUAGCUCCCACCGGUUGGAACGUAGUUGGGCUGGGCCAUUUCCAAACGGACGUCAAAUAACGAAAUGCACAUUAACUAACGCUGAAGGCGCCGAAUAAAGGUACCCCAAAAGAGGGGGAGCUCGGAUGGAACCUCGGGUUGCUUACGCGCAAGCCUAGCCACUCGAAUAGCUAGGCUUUCUUGGUUACUAUGGCGCGCGAAGCUAAACUUAAUGUACAUCCGAACAUUUUAUCAAAUACCGAACACGAACAUUAAUUUUUUUUAAAGGUUUUUUUUUAAGAUUUUAGAAGUUUUGGAACAAAAAAUAAAAACCUCGAACAUUUUUUGAAUAUGUGAAAAAACAAUACAUAAACCGAACUCUUCUUUCAAAAUCACGAAAAAAAAUAAUAUGUGAACAAAUAAAAUUUAAAAUGGAUUUUUUUAAACUCUGAACAAAAAUUCGGAAACGUAAAUAUUUUUUAAAUCCUUGAAAAAAUUCUCAAAGAAGAACAAAUUUCAAAUUAGUGAACAAAUCUAUAAAACUGCGAAAACAUUUCGAACUGUGCACAAAUUUUGAAACCGUAAACAUUUCACAAAUUAUGAACAAAUUUCAAAUUUGUGAACAAAAUUAUAAAAUUGUCAACAUUUUUCGAAUUGUGAACAAAUUUGGACCAAUUAACAUUUUUAAAUUGUGAACAUAUAUUGAAACAUGAACUUAUUUAAAAUUAGGGAGCAACAUUAUAAAAUUGUGAACAAUUUUGAAUUGUGGACAAAUUUGAAACAAGAAAAAAUUUCAAAUACAUGAAGAAUCAUAUAAAAUUGUGAGCAUUUUUUGAAUUGUGAACAAAUUUUGAAACCACAAAUAUUAUUCAACUUCAAAUCAAAUUUUGAAACAAGAACGAAUUUCAAAUUAAUGAACAAAAUUAUAAAAUUGUGAAUAUUUUUCGACUUAUGAACAAAUUUGGAAAAUGUGAAUAUUUUUGAAAUUGUGAACACAUCUUGAAACAUGAACAAAUUCAAAUUUAAAACAUUUUUAAAAAGCAAGAAUAUUUUCUGCAGUUGAAGAACAAUCUUAAAACAUGAACUUAGUUAAAAAAUAACUAUAGAAAAAAAUAAAUAGACAAAGAAGAAACAGAAAAACAAAACAAAAGGAGAAAAAAACGUUCAGGAAACCUCCUAGGAGGUUCGCAAAACCGAUGGAAACUGAACUUGAGCUGGCCCCAGUUUUCUCGGAAGGAUGUGUAGAGGCCCGUCUAUUUGCCACAAAAUACGGCGAAUAGGGUAUUCCCAAAAACGGUGCUAUACUACCCAUCGCAACUGGAGGAGCCCGACACGGAUUGCCCUGCGUCAAGCACCUCCCUAAAUUGGGCGGCAAGCGCGCAGGAGGCCACAGGCCACUGCCUUGUUGUUUAUUUGUUUUUUGCAUGUAUAUUGUUUUCAUGUUUUGCCUCUUUAUUCUUCUUUAAAUUUAUAAAUAUUUGAUAAUAGAAAUUAGUUUACAUAAUAUAUUGUAAACCAAUUAACUAAACAUUUAAAACAUGUGAAAUGUGUAUAGUAAAAAAAAAUCAUGCAUUUAACAAACGUUAACUGUGUAUAGAAAGUUUGUUAUGCAUACAAAAACUAUAUUGAACGGAUACAAUGUGUAUGAGAAGAUGUUCAUCAUGUAUUUAACAAUAAUAAGCAUCUAUAAAAAUGAUUAUUGUUUAUGUGAAAUAUGUAUACUGUGUGUGAAAAUUGUUUAUAGCCACUAAGUAAAUGGUCGACGUGUAUUCAUAAAUGUUGGCUUGGUAUUCAAAAUAUAUUAAAUGUCUACAUAAAAAUGUAUUAUUCUUAUAUUCAAAAUGUACAGUGUCUAUGGGAAAAUGUACAUAAAAUAUAUUAUAUUUUGAAAAUGUUACUCCUGUAUUAUAAAAUAUUAAACAUAUAUGUAUAUAUAUAAUAUUUGUGUACAUAUAAGAUUAAUAUUAAAUUUGUUCCGAUAAAAAGUUGAUAUGUGUUGCACACAAAAGAAACAGAUGAAGAUUGGCAAGGAAAAAGAAAAAAAUGCAAUAAUAACCAAAACAAGAAAUAGAAACCAAAUAAAACCAGUGCAAAAGAACGAAACUAUAAAAGCCAAGAAAUAAUAAAAAACAGAUGAAACCAAGAAAGUAGAAAAACUAAAGAAAAUAGGAUAUAAAAGAAAACAAACAAACAAACAACGAAGGGGGGGGAAGGAAAGAAAACUGGAAUUGAACAAAGAAAUUGGUGGAAAAAACAAGAAACUUGUGAAGAUGAACCGAAAUAGAAAACAAACGGAAACGUAAAAGAAUGAACAGCGAAAAACAUACACAGUCACAACUAAGCAAGAGCGCUGUGAAACAAGUCGAAAAACAUACACAGUCAUAACUAAGCAAGAGCGCUGUGAAACGAGUCGGCCCAGUAUUGUACAUAAAAGAAAAGUGCCUCAACCGAGAUCGAAGUUGCUUUCGCUAGAAGCGAGAUAUAGCUCUUGUGACCCGAUACAGUCUUAGCCACUCUGUGCAUUCGGUUUAUUCGGUUUACCUGGAUUGGUUUCAUCUGUUUUCUGAUUUGCGGUAAAUAUCUUAUCAAGUUAAGAUACGGUUUGGUUUUGACAUCUUUACUAUUUAUAAAGUUGAAGUUGGUGGUGAGUUCACAUCUGGGACCAAUAACCUUUUUCAAUAAACAAAUCCAUCCCUACCCACAUUAAGAAUAGCAAUAUUUCAUGAACAUAAAUAAACAAAUGUAUUUCUGCUCACAUCUGGGAUCAAACACAAAUAAACAAUACACUACUAUUCAUGUGAGACUAACACUUGGGCACAAAUAACAAAUGCAGAAAUACGACUCCAACUCAAUAUAAUGCUCUUGUUUUUCUUUUUCUUUUUUCUCAGCCAAGUUAUUUCAGUUUUAUAUCACAGAACAAGAGAGUGAACAGAUAGUAAUUCGAAAAUGAUGAUAGACCUUAUCCUCCUACCUAAUCCACGACCUUGUGGAGUACCAUUGUCUAUUCUCAUAUGUUUUAACAUUCGAAAUGUUGUGUUUGUAAAGGAUCAUGGUCACUUAAGAUUCUACAAUGCCUCACGCGUGAUCUUUUGUGAUAUUUUUUAUCUUUUUAAUUGUGAAGCGUGAGCAAAUUCUGCAUGGCACCACACCAUAUUUUGACAAUUUACUAAGCCAGUUAUCUAACUCCUCGCAUUUUAUAGUUUCGUAGCAACGCACGGGCAUUCUGCUAGUAUACUAAAUUAUUUAUGUAUAGUUUCGAUAUAUAACAUAAAAACUAAAGUCAACGUGAAUUUGAUAAUAACAUAUAAUAGCUUGCAAGUUUAUGACUCAAAAAUCAAAAUAUAUGCAUUUUUAUACAAAGAGUACAUAGCUAUAUGCAAGUGUAUAUUCAUGCAUGGUUUUGGAUGGUUAUCGACGUACUUAGCAUUUUUUAAGAGAAAUAUGACUACAUUACAAGAUAAGUGAAUGUGCUUAACAGGAAAUUUCUCCUGUACAAAAAGGACUACUUAUAUGGUUGUUCGCCUUAAGAUAUAUAAAUAUAAUAUUUAUUUCCGUUUAUUUGGUUAACCAUUCUGUUUUUCAGUAUAUACCAUAAAAACCAAAGUCAAAAACGGUAUGAAUAGUUCAUAACAUACCGAAACCAUAAACCAUGAAAAUCAUUAAAUAGGUUUGGUUCGGUUAAUUUUUUGAUUCUGUUUUAAAAUGAAUAGCAUGAGUCCCAUGGUAACCUAUCGAUGGCGUCGUCGUCCUUAACCAUGGCACAUCCACCUCGCUAUGGCCGACGCUCCUGACCCUCUUCAUGGCUGGUGUCGCCUCCAGCUCUAGGAGAACAUCAAUGUGCCGAUCCCAUGCUCAACAGAGGAGGCAGGGCUGAGGUUUAAAAAAGGAGUAUGUCCUUCACUAUGUUCUUGUGGUGCUAUGUGACAAUGUCUGUCACGUGUCCUCCCUUCCCAUCCAGGCCUUCCUUAAAAGACCGACAUUGUGCACGCUAUUCAUGAACGGUAAGACCCACGUGUAGUCAUUCCGGGGCACGCACCAUGAAUAGUCACAUACCACCAAUGUCAUGCCCGUGCUAGUCCCCCUGUCUCUGCCAAUGACAGCAUGGGCACGACGCAGCCUUGACUUCCGACGCUUGGUUGGGGCAUGAGCUUGUGUACACGACGCGGGCUCACAACGAGUUGUCGACUCGUCGGUCUGGAUGCUCAUAGCGUGUCCAUUGAAAUGCCGCGUACAGAAAUAGAAAGUGAGGGUUGAAAGUAGAGAUUGCGGUUAUUUUACGAUUAAAAAAUGGCUCAAAGUGGCGUCCGCAAAUGUUUCCGGACAGAAAUUUGUCGAUCCUUACUGUAGAUGCUCUCGUACGCACUGCAUCGUCAUGCGCUACAAAACCCAUUUACCCCGACUAAGUUAUCGUUCUUGUGGCCCAAACGACACAGAUAACGGCGACAGGCGAGCGUCGUCUCUCCGACAGCAUCCACAGAUUGAGGACAAACUAAAUGAAACAUAAAAUUAAUGCAACAGAAUGAGCGGAAAAUGGGGAUGGGCGAUAGGUGUGGCGAUCUCGUCGUUCGCCAGAAAAAGCAGCCAAAACAUCAUCGUCCAUGGGAUCGCCAGGCCGGGAGGACGGUUCUGGCUGCUAGCAGACAGUGAUGACGAGGAUGAGGCAACCUCUACCGGAGGUAAGUCGGCACAAAUCGCAUCUCCGACACCUUCUGAUUCCAUCUGCGGGGCAUUCCAGGUGGGAUACUCGGAGGAGGAUGUCACCCGUGUUGUAGACGAACUGGUCCCGAUGGACGAUCUAGCAAGACUAGGGCUUCGAUCUGCGGACAAAAUAGAAGUCGCGAGGAGGGUAGUUCAUCGACGAAUAGCUGCAACAGCAGUCCUUGGCAUCGGCCUCUUCCUAAGGUGCGUUUGCCGAAACUGACUCUGUCUGAUUUCAUGUUAACCCCAUGGAAACUUGUCCGGAACAAGAAACACCAGCGACGAACGGCGAGGUCGACGUCGCAGGCGGCGGAUCCGGCUAGUCGGAUAGUUGAGAUACGUUCACAGUGUUUGAAUGAGCUUGUGGGCUUCUUGGGUCAUAUCAGAUCGAGCUAGCGGUGGGCUCCAACGAGGUUGGGUAUAUGGCCCAGCCAGGAGCCCAAGACGGUUGUGAUCGAGAGUGUCGUGAUCCGGCGAUAUGUUCGCCUAGUCCGCGCCUCUCUGUUGCGUUGGAGGCGUCAGCUAGGGUUCCGAGGCGUUCCAAUCGCCCUGGGUUUCCCGCUGUGUGCGCGGGCAGGGCGAGGAGGGUUCGGCCGCUCCUAUCGGCGAGCUCGGCCAUGGUUGGCCGCGGCAGCCAACCGAUGCCACCCAGGCAUCCGUCCAACGCUGGGUCUGCGGCGACCGGAGGAGCAGGACGUGCUGGGCAGAAAGAUGAUCUGCAGGCCGCUCAGGGCCGAGGUGAUGAUGGCGGCGGAGACCGGGGAGACUUUGGCGGCGACGUCGGAAGAGGUGACUAUGGUGGCGGUGGGAGAGGAUAUCAGAUGCACAUUGAUGGGAGCAACUUCACUCCUGGUCGCUGGGGAGAUGAUGGCUAUGGUGCAUACGGAAACGAAACUCAUCGCGGCUCCACCUCUACCGGCAGUGGCCGAGGGGAGGGAGGUGGCCGGGGUUUCGUUGCUCCCACCGGGCCAUAUGUUGAGGGGGCGUCGGGUCCUAGACAGCACUACCACCCUACUAUGGCACGCGGGGAGGAGGUAGAAAGCCGGCUGGGCGUCGUGACUCUCGCUCACAGGAUCCGACGCCUACCUUGGUGUAAGUGACGGAGGGUGUACAGUCGGCGCAUGCUGAUGGAGCCGCUGCUGAUCCUGCACCGCUUUCAGGGGAAGCAUUGGAAGUUGUACGAGCUCUAACCGGGUCUAUUGCUGCUGAGGCGAAGGUGGAUGAUGGUAAGGCUGGAGGUUCUGAUAAAGGGAGCGAAAAAUCUGAUAGUCAGAGAGUCACUAAGUGGGCUAAAAAGAAAGAAAAGCUGACAUGUUUCCGAUGUGGAGGACAGGGGCAUUUUAUAGCUGAGUGUUUUGUAGAGCUGUGUGACAUUUGUCGUAAGCCGAAACAUGAGCAGGGAGAGUGCCCUUUGCUCCUCGGGCCGAAGCCUGUGGUCACUAUCUACGGGGCUUGUUGCGCAGAACUUAUGUUCUUUGAGUCUACACGCUCAAUUUCGACCACGCCGUCUCCAGAGAGUUCGCGGACGGGUGUUGUGAGGGCGACACGUGGAUCGAUGACUUCGGAUCAGGUUGUGCAGCAUAUGCGGGAGCUGGUUUUUGCAAGGUUCCAGUGGAAUCCUAUCAAGUUAGAUGAUCAUCUUUUCAGGAUUGAUUUUCCUUCUAAGGAGGAUCUUGCGAGAUCGCUAAAAUUUGGAAUGAGCAAGGUCUCAAGCAAUAAUUGUGUUCUUGAGUUUGAGGCUUGGUCAUAGAAAGAGCCUGAAGGAACUCUGUUAUCAUAGUUGUGGGUCGGGUUUCUGGGUGCUCCGCGCACGUCGAUUGAUGAUUUCUUCGUGACUUGGAGCCUUGGAUCUCUUAUAGGCAAAACAUAAAAGGUGGAUAUGUCGUUUACUCGCGCUCAAGGGGAAGCAUGAUUACUGGUUAGUGUGAUUAGCAUUGAGCAUAUUCCAGAUACUGUGAAAAUGGACUUAUGAUGGGAAGGUUUUUGACCUGGACAUUGAGCUAGAGGAGACUGAUCAAUUCCAGGAGCUGGCCGAUAAUAUUGAUAUGGACACUGAGGAUGGCAACAACGGAGACGGGAAUCGAGAUGGGGGUUCGAAGGCUGGGGACGAUGCUGAUAGCGGCAAAACGCCCUUGGCCAAACCGGGAGUGUCUGGUUCUUCGACGGAACAAACACGCACAUCCACUCCGAUGAAUCAUUUGAGAUUUGGGUCGUUCGAAUCUUCUACGGCGCAUGGCAGACUUUGGGGUGCAAGGGUGGAGAUAGAUGAUCCAGUGGAGCACGAGCUGCCACCACUAUCACCACUUGCUUCCACGGGAGACUGAGAGAUUCCAGUGUCGCCAACUCGGACCUCCUUCAAGGAGUCGCCCACAAGUAUAAUGGUUGAGGAGGUGACGGCAGCGAAGCAACGACGAUCAAGAGUGAUCACUCCCACCCCUAAAGGGGACAUGCAUGCUUUGCAGACGGUUGGGGGUUGGCAGGUGGCCACACCCCAACGGCUUCGACGAUGUGUUUUUCUGCCAAGGGGGGCGCUACUGAGACUAACCCACUCUUGGGUCUGCUGGUGGGGCAUUCUUCAGGUGGUCACGACUACUCUUCCAGGCAAAUGACUGGUGAUCGUGUGUCCGUCGGCACUGGGCAGUCCAACCACGUUACACAGGAGUCCGGCGGCUUCCAUCUGCAGGAGCAUACCACCGAGGAGGUCAUCACCUUCGGAGGGAUUCCAGACCCGGCGACUGGAGAGAGGAGGACGAGUAGCCGUCUCCAGGCGCAGCCGGAUGUCGACGAUCUUCAGUUGGGCCGCUCCAUGCAGACGACCCAGCUCCAUGACUGUGAGACCACUACAAGUAUGUUCGUUGAUACAGAAUGUUCUAUCUUGCAUCUUUCCGAUGAUGAUAUUAUAUUACGGGCAAACUAAAUCGGCGUAUCUCUGGAUAACAAUGAAACAGAAAUAUCAAAGUUUGUUAAUGAUCUCUGAGAUUUAGAGGCUGAGCCAGCUAUGGACAUGCUUCGAAAUCUUGCAGCAGUUAAAUCCAUGAAUGAUUCUGAUAUUAAUGCGAGGCUUUAGACUCUCUUUGUGAGGAUCUUAGGACACCAUCUCUAUUGACUGAUGAGGGUAACGAUUAUGGUGUGGAGGAUUAUAUGGACCCUAUGCAACUUAAUGCAUCCGCACAGUCUGAGAGCGGUUAUAUGGACCGGAUGGCUGAACCGGAUAGGCACAAGCGCCCAUGGAAGCGCAAGGUCUAUCCUGAAUCUGUAGUGCGCAGAAGCGCGAGACUUAAGACUGCAAGAAAAAAUUGAUGAUAAAUGAGAGGAAUCUUUUGGAACAGCAGAGGUCUUGCGGACUUGGCUAAAAGAAGAUUUCUUACAGAAGCAACGUUAGAGCACAAGUUAGAUUUCGUUGCUUUAUUGGAAACCGGUAGAGACAAUUUUACGUCACAAUUUCUUAGCACUCUCUCUAGCCGUAUUGAAUUCGAUUGGCACUGUCUACCGCCCAGGGGAAGGUCGGGAGGGAUCUUACUUGGGGUACGUUGCGAGACUCUCGAGGUUCGGAAUGUAGUGUUCAGGGACUUCGCGGUAAAAUUUCGAGUGCGAUCGAAAGUGGAUGGGUUCGAGUGGGCACUUGUGGCUGUUUACGGGGCCGCCUAGCUAGAGUUAAAAAUGGAUUUCUUAGCCGACCUCGUCCGAAUCUAUGGGUAUGAGAGGUUACCGACUUUGGUUGGGGGAGACUUCAACAUAAUUAGGCGGAGGGAGGAAAAGAAUAAUGACAACUUCGAUGAAAGAUGGUCAUUUAUGUUUAACACUAUUAUCGAAAGCUUACACCUGUGAGAAAUUGAGAUUUCGGGUAGAAAGUUUACGUGGGCGAAUGCCUUGCCUACUCCAACUUUUGAGAAGUUAGACCGGAUUCUCACCAGUGUGGAUUGGGAAAAAAAAUUCCCUCUUGCAAUCGCUAGAGCUUUACCAAGAGCGAUCUCGGAUCACACACCUUUGCUUGUUGACUCUGGUGAUGCUACACAUGUGGGCAACAAGAAUACUUUCUCUUUCGAGAAGGCUUUGUGGACCUUAUAGCAAGAGAGUGGGCUAAGGCUGCUCGGGGCUCAUCGAAUGUUGAUCGAUGGCAGAGCAAAAUUAGGCACCUAAGACAGUUCUUAAGGGGAUCAGCCAAAUAGAGAGCGGGAGGUAUAAGAUUGAGAAAGAGAGACUCCUCAGUCUUAUUAAUGAGUUAGACUUAAAAGCCGAGUCAGCGUUGUUAGAUGACAAUGAGAGGUCAUCUAGAACACAAGAUGAAUUGAGUCUUAAACAACUUCUUCGAGAAGAAGAGUUGAAAUGGGCACUUAGAGCAAAAGUGUGUAACAUCGUAUAUGGGGAUGACAAUGCACAAUGCUUCCAUCUCAUUGCAAAUGGUAAACACCGAAAGAAAAGAAAUUUCCAACUAGAGCAAGACAAGGGUAAGAUUGUGGGCCACGAAAAUCUAAAGAUAUACAUCUCUGAGUUUUACAAACGUCUUUUUGGGGAGCCGGAUGACAAAUUUGUGUCAAUGGCCGAGCAGAUGGUGGGUGAUAUUCCUCGGCUCGGGGUGGACGAGAAUGAGAUAUUAACCGCACCGUUUACGGAGAAAGAGGUGUUUGAGGCAAUUUCGUAGAUGAAAAAUGAUAAGGCUCCAGGACCGGAUGGAUUCCUGGCUCAGUUUUAUAAGAGGUGUUGGCAUAUAGUGAAAGGGGACUUACUUCCAAUGUUUCAAGACUUAUUCAAUGGCCAACUCUAGCUUUUUCAACUUAACUUUGGGACAAUUUCAUUGUUGCCAAAGAAGGAGGAGGUGGUGCGGAUUGAACAGUUUCGACCAUUUGCCUUCUCAAUGUGAGUUUUAAGAUCUUUACUAAGGUCGGGACGAACAGAUUGUUGCGGAUUACGCAGGCGGUGGUGUAGCCUAGCCAGACUGCAUUCAUGCCGGAUAGAAACAUACUAGAGGGUGUGGUUGUCCUACAUGAAACACGGCAUGAGAUUCACUCGAAGAAGCUGGAUUGGGUGAUCUUCAAGGUGGAUUUUGAGAAGGCAUAUGACAAGGCUAAAUGGCCAUUCCUACAACAAGCCUUACGUGUGAAAGGAUUUGAUGAGGUGUGGAGGAAACACGUCGAAUCAUUCGUACAAAAAGGAAGUGUUGGAAUUAAAGUCAAUGAUGAUAUAUGGCAUUUCUUCCAAACACACAAAGGUCUUCGGCAGGGAGACUCAAUGUCACCCAUCCUAUUUAAUGUAGUUGCAGAUAUGUUGGCAAUACUUAUAGGGAAGGCUAAAGAGGAGGGCCGGAUAGGUGGAUUAGUACCUCAUCUAGUCGAUGGUGGUGUUUCCAACUUACAAUAUGCUGACGACACUAUUCUGUUCAUAGAACAUGAUAUUGCAAAAGCCAGAAACAUGAAACUCAUAUUGUGCUUAUUCGAACAGUUGUCGGGUCUGAAAAUUAAUUUUCACAAGAGUGAAGUGUUUUGCUUUGGGAGAGCCAAAGACGAACAAGGUUCAUAUAAACAACUGUUUAGAUGUGAAUCGGGAAGCCUACCGUUCAGAUAUUUAGGAAUUCCAAUUCACCACCAUAAGUUAUCAAACAAAGAAUGGAAAAGUGUUGAGGAUCGUUUUGAGAAAAAAAAAUAGUUGUUGGAAGGGUAAGCUAUUAUCAUACGGAGGAAGAUUGAUUCUCAUUAACUCGGUUCUCACGAGCAUGCCGAUGUUCCUUCUGUCCUUCUUUCUGGUACCGGUCGGGGUACGGAAAAGAUUGGACUUUUAUAGAUCACGCUUUUUCUGGCAGAGUGAUGAAGUUAAGCAAAAGUACCGGCUUACUAGGUGAGAUAUUAUUUGUAGACCUAAAGACCGGGAAGGUUUGGGGAUUCAAAAUUUAGAGAUAAAGAAUAGAUGUCUGCUAAGAAAAUGAUUGUUAAGACUUUCUCUGGAGGGGGAGGGUAUGUGGGUGCAAAUUUUGCAUAAUAAGUACUUACAAACUAAAACUCUACCUCAGGUUACCGUGAAACCCAAUGAUUCACCUUUUUGGAAAGGCUUAAUGACAGUGAAAGCAGCCUUCUUUCAAAAAGCAAAAUUUAUUGUAAGUGAUGGUAAGUCAAGGAGAUUCUGGGAGGAUACAUGGCUGGAGGAUACGCCCAGGACAGGCUUUGGCCCUAGGCGGACAUGGGCGGCGCCCAAGGGGCCAUGUUUUGCAGGGCCCAUCAUUAUAUAUGUAUACGUGCUUCUAUAUGUGUUGGAUUGUACCUCGGCCUUCUAUACGUCCUUGAGCCUAGUUGCGUCGCUUUGGGGUACGUACGCCUUGGCCUCCUGCCUAUUUCCUUGGCGCACGCAUACCUGGGCGUAACUUAUAUUCCCUCCGUCCCGAAAUAAGUGUCGUUGAUCUAGUAUAAAAUUUGUACUAACCUAGUACAAAUUUUGCGACACUUAUUUUGGGACGAAGGGAGUACCUGUUUGGCUGUUUCUUUCGACGCCUCGCCGCCUCGGCCUCCUGGCUUCGCCCCUUCUCCCGUUCGCCGCCCUUUGCGGCUUCUGUUUGGCAGUGGAGAUCAGCCAUGGUCUGCAGCUACAGUGGAGAUCGGCAGCUGUAGUGGAGAUCGGAAACUGCUUUAUUCAUGAAGAUUGCAGAGGAGCUAUUUGGAGAUCAGCAGAUUUUUUGUGAAGCACUGAAGUAUUGUUGUUCAUGAACUCAUAUGAACUUCGUUCUUAUUUGAGGUAAUUAAACUAGCAGCGAAUAUUAUUUUUAAAAUUUUGUUACUCUUUUAUUUAUUGUCAUCGUUAAAUUACAAUGUAUGGUCGAAUGUAAACUUUAAUAUUUUGCGUUUAUAUAUCUAUAAAUGCGUAUAUAUAUUAUCUAUAGGGGUCCAUUUUUUAACUUUGUCCAAGGGCCCCGAAUAAUAUAGAGCCGGCCAUGGAUAUGCCUCUAGCCAUACAAUAUCCAUCUCUUUAUAAUAUUGUUCAACGUAAGGAGGCAUACGUUGUCACAAUAUUACAGUCUAAUCCUUUAAAUAUUCAGUUUCGAAGAUCUUUAAUAGGUAAUAGAUGGGAGGCAUGGUUGCAUUUAGACAUUUCUAUUGUUUGGGACGUGGCUAAAUGGGGUAGACAUUUCUAUUGUCAGACAUAUUCGUAUAGGAGUAUGUGCAUUAAUUUGGGCUAUAUGGAAUUGCAUGAAUGAUGUGACUUUUGACAGAUUAUCAAAUGUCAAUUUCUUGCAGGUACUUCACACGGCAUUGGCGCUGAUCCGUAUAUGGUCGUUACUCACACCUGCGGAAACCAGGGAGCAUUUGGUUACUGGGUCUAUCCGAUGGGAGAUGGUAGCACUGGGUAUCUACAACCGGUUUGGAUGGUGGUCCAGUAAUAGGAUAGAUGGUUAGGUGUCUAUGUCUAUUUUUUAGUCGGUUGUGGCAUUUUUAUUAUCCCUUUGUGUAUUUCUUUAUUAUUUUUGGAGCUUGUUCGAAACUUCUCGAUGCUUUUUAAUUACUUAAAUGAAAUGACUGAAUGCAUCGUUUUGAUGCAGCGGUCGGAGGAAACCUUUUUUCUAUAUAAAAAAAACAGUUCUACCCAACCGCAUCCCACGGCCCUGUAGAUGGAACAAGCAAACAAAGCCCGUGGCGUCAAGAACGAGGGCGUACAGGCGCCCGCCGGACGCGUGUCGAGCCCCGACUGGCCGCCGGGUCGCCGCCACCGGGGCCCGCCGCCGGCGGUCCCCGGUCCGCCUCGCAUGGUCCGCCCUCCGCCCCUCGUCGCUGUCCGGAGAGAGGGAGGGAGAAAAAGAUGAACAUCACGUCUCGCAGUCGCAUCCAUCCAUCCACGCUUGACCUUCCGCUGCUGCUGCUACUUUGAACCCUCUCCACAAUCGGCCACAAGUGGAUAAUGGGCGAGGGAUCCGCGCCAACUUGUUCCGGAAAAGAAACAGCGACGGCGAGCCACGAUCGCGCACGCGCGCCAUCCGUCCCCGUUUUUCCUCACCUUUCUCCGCACGAAACCGCCGUCGCCGUCGCCGUCGACAAAUCAUGCGUGCUCUUAUCGCCGGUCAGAUGAUUUUUUUAUCGCCCCGGCCGUGCCGUGCCGUGCCGUGGAAUGGAAUGGAAUGGAAUUAGCCCCGUUUUCUUGUGCGGCGAUCGAAUUAGCUGGCCACCUGUAGAAAUUUUGUUUGCGAGUAGUUCCGGUCAGUCAGUGUGAAGAUCGGGCCAGGGAGAAGGAGCGAUUACUAGUAGCCAAAUUUCCAGCCCUGGUUUAAUAUGUGUGCAACAGCGACGUGCGUGGUCCACGGCGCUCCACGGAGGCCGGCGUCAGCACGAUGCGGCUUUGCUUUCGUUGAUUUGAUUAGAAUUAUGGGCCGGCUCAACAUCAUCUUCCUUGCUAAUACUACAGAUAGGAGUAGGAACUUUCUUUCGCGCAUACAUAAAUAGGUGUUGUUGACAAGUACCAACACCCCACAUGGUAUGAUUUGAUUUCCCCUCCCAUAAACUAGGAGCAUCGCUCACCUGGUUUGUGACCGAACGAUGUCAUUGGACAGGACGCGUACACUCAACUUCAAUUCAAGAUAUACAAUGACAAUAUACACACCUUUGAGGCCAUUUUCCGCACCCAUCCCCCUCUCUCUAACCAAUACCCGAAAUCCACCCGCCUCCGUAGACGCGCCUCCACAAGGCUAUCCAUCCGCUUUCACUGCAUCUCCUGUCGUCGACGAGUUGCAUGGCAGGCCAGAGUCGACGCUGCGCUCGCCCCCAUAAGGUUGCACGUAGUUGCUUUACCCUUCCUCCUCCUCCCUCCUAAUUGUCACGGAUUCAUCGAAGAUGCGUCGGGAUAUGGAGCACGUGGUGCGACAGAGAUUCCCUAACGAGUCGGAGUAGUCGGAGCUCGUCGACGUCAUUCGUCUCUCCAUUGGCGGAGCCACGCUAGUAGUAGCUGGAAAUACCCAUAUCAAUAGCGCUGGUGGCAGUGCUACUGAUAAGGCGCUACAACUAAGUUUUAACAGUAGCGCUCUUCAACCAGCGCAACUGGUAAGUAUAGUUAGCAAUAGCGCUGCACGGAACAGCGCUGCUACUAACUAUCUGUAGUGUUGCCCAUAACAAGCGUUGCUGAUAAUCCAGCGCUCCUGCCAGCACUAGUAGAAAACACACCUUUCGUCCGUACCUUUAGUCCCGGUUUGAUUUCGGCCCGGGACUAAUAUGACCAUUAGUCCCGGUUCCAACGGCUAGGAGCGGUCGGUGGCACGGGCACCUUUAGUCCCGGUUCAUCUUGUACCUAUAGUCUCGGUUUGUGAGACAAACCGAGACUAAAGGUGUGGUGGGCUGGUGGCACGCGAGCGUCAGGCUGGGCCCCCCAUGAGCCCAUUUAGUCCCGGUUUGUAUAACUAACCGGUUUGUAUCACAAACCGGGACUAGAUGGAUCCAUUUAGUCCCGUUUGGUUAUACAAACCGGGACUAGAGGGAUUCAUUUAGUCCCGUUUGGUUAUACAAACCGGGACUAAAGAUCUUUCUAUAUAAGCCCUUCGUCCAGACCGAGCCCAUUUAUCUGUUUUCUCAAUUCCUCUCUAUGUUCUUCCCCUUAGCUCGAGCUCAUCCUCCAUUUUUUUGCCAAGAUUUGUCAAGAUUUGGGACACCCCAUCUCUCCAAGUGUUCACAAUGGUUAGCAACUUUGUCCUUUCAUCUCUCAUUGGUAUAUUAGCUCAUGCAAUGCUCUAUAAGUAUAGUGAUUUGUGGGUUUUGGUUUGGGGAGUAAUUUUAUAGGAGUUUAUCUGAUUUAUGUGCAAUCUGAGCUAAAAUUAACUUCUUAGUGCCUUCCUGUCCCCGUCCUAACCACCAUUGAUCGUUCGUACCGUCCCAUCGCCGGCACCACCUUGGAGAUGGGUUCAUCGUGUGGGAUAAUUGCGCUCGCAUACCCACCUCCGGGAGCGUUGCUGCGUGGGGUUCGCCCUCCACGCCAUCACUAAGCUCGCCUCGUCCAAAUAGGUGGACAACACAGGCCCCUACCUCAGUUUCAUCUACUCAUCAGGCGGGACCAAGGAUUCACUGCUUCAACGUUGAACCGCCCCUAGCCUAGGGACCGAGGUGAGCUCCCAAUCCGUCUAUCCUGAUUGCGUAGAGAUCGAAUAGAUGCAUUUCGUAAUUGCGAUUUCCUCACUUCACCAAUCGACCGCUAUCCAACAUGCAUCUAUGUUAUUAAGUUCAUAACAAACAAAGUAAUUCUUGGAGCAUGAUGACAUAAUGUAGACAAAAUAAGAUCAAUUAAUAUGUUCAAACCCCGUCAUUUUAUCCUUAGUAGCAACAAUACAAAUAUGUGUCUCGCUACUAAUGGUGUCACAGAGUGAGGGCACCGCAAUAUUGGACCUACUACUAUGCAUCACUUCCUAUGAAGAUAUACUCAUCAACUUGCCAAAGAAAACUCAUAGAUCGGAAGGCAUAUAUAGCUACAUGAAAUCACACAUAAUAAAUCUAUGAAUAGACCCAAUUACUUUCAAUGAAUAAUCCAAUCAUAAACUCACAAUUCAUCGGAUCCCAACAAACACACCGCAAAGAUUACAUCGAAUAGGUCUUCAAAGAGAUAAUUGUAUUGUAGAGAGAGAGGGGGGGAGGGAGAAAGGGAGGGAGUAAGAGAGAGAGGGACAGGGCAGAGGAGGGAGGCAGAGGGAGAGAGAGGGGGGAAAGGGAGGGAGAGAGAGAGAGAUGUUGGAAAUUUUCCCUAGAGGCUCUAUGAUAAACCAAUUGAAGAUAUUGUGCUUUGAUGCUCAAGUUGUGUUGCUACUCUGAUGUUUAAGGGAGGGAGAGGGGGGGACAGAGAGAGUUUUUGUCCAACGUGGUACUUUGCAAAGCAAGUACCACCUAGGCUCCUCCAUUUGAGCUGCAAUUUUGUCAAGACAGUCUCCUUAGUAGAUGAUCAUCAUCAACCAAAACUUAGGCCCAUUGGCCAUGUGCAUUUCCCCCAUCACUAAUAAAACAACUGGCUGCUAAUUCAUGUUUGAGCUUAGUUCAAUCUCCUCGUGAGAUUCUUCUGUUGUCAUUUUCUUCCUAACAUCUAUCGGUGGAGUGCCUAACCCACCAUACAUGCCUAGGACGCCCAGAAUGCGUGGCAAUACCACACUCACGCGAUUGGCAUGCUAAUUUACGCGCUCUAGAGUUGGGGCCCUCGGCCACUGUCUACGCGUUUGUGGGAGUUCUUGAGAGAAACUCUACCAGGUUUACUCGCUCUCGCUCUUUUGACCAAAGAAAAUCAUGAUUCGAGCAAGUCUUGAGCAUUUCCCCAUGAACUUAUUACUCUUAGAGGUUGAAAUCUUUUAGGCUGUAGGAGUUCUUCGAAGAGGAAACAUUCGGUGUGAUUAUCCGUGAAAAUUUUGUGAAGGUUUGAAGAUCACUUCAAGGCCUAUCACUAAUGGUUGAGAAUCGCCUCAUGGUGACAUGUCAAGGGAAGAAUAGGGUGAGACUUCGUGACGUUGGUGUGUCUUCAUGGUAGCAUCCACCCCUCUAAGGGUGACCGGCUUCCCUCCAAGAAAGUGAACAUCAUGAAUUCAUGAUACAUCUUUGUCCGUGGAGUUUUGGUUAUCCCUAAAUCUAACUCUCUACUUGUGGUUGUUUGUCUUUUGUCUUUCGCCUUUACUCAUAUCAUAUUGUGGUUGCUUGCAUCAUCUUGCAAUUGUUAGGAUCACAUUCAUAUUUCACAUAAUUUUCUAAGUUGCUAAAUAAUAAUUAAAUUUAUAACUUUACCUAUUCAUUUUUCUAGGUCCAUCUCGAUCUUUUGACUGACAAGGUGUCGUUGGAAAGAGAAGAAUUCUACAAAAGAAAACUCUUGUGCGUUGAUUUCAGCAGUCUUAAAAUAAUGUGUCGGUUCAGUCUAUCGAAGAUGCUCUUAUUAAAAAUCUGUCGGACCGGUUAAAACCGCAAUCUGGUAAAAAAAUCGAAAUUUACAUGUAAUGACAGAGAGAGAAGGAAGGCAAAAAAGAAAAGAAAAAAAGGUUGCGCUCGUAAAAAGGUUGGUUGUAGGAGCAGCAGCAGUGUGCAGUUCCCUGUCGCGACUGUCGUACGAAUAUCACGUGGAAACGCGGAUACAUAUGGCUGUGGUUCCUCCUCCUCCACCCCGCGGUCCCCUCUGCCGCUGCACCGCUCCGCCCCGCCCGCCUGCUACUGCUACUGCUACCUGCACCCGCACCCACACCCAUCCCUCCUCCUCCACUUGACCCGGUGCCGGUGGUACCACCUCCUCCCAAGGCAGCAGCGGAUACAUACGAAGCGGGAGCUAUAGCCCGCGCGCGCAGGCCUGUUCGGCCAUGGCGUACCAGUACCACCACCACCAGGACCACGCGCUGGGGAUGGACGCGGCGGCGGCGGCGGCGGCGGGGGGGAACCCUGGCGGCGGCGGCUUCGCGCCGGGCUUAAGCGCGGGCGGCGCGUGGGAGGGGGAGAAGGCGGCCGUCGAGGCGCACCCGCUGUACGAGCGGCUGCUGGNNNNN
rnacentral:lncRNA from 1 species